UCCUCCUCCGACUUACGUGAGUCUUUGUGCUCACGAACAUCGAUAAGGUAGUAUGACCCGUUGUUCAGGUUCUUGCUGACCACAAAGGGUCCUUCCCAAGGUGGGGAUAGCUUGUGCAUAUCGGACUGAUCCUGGAUGAGCCGGAACACUAAGUCACCUUCUUGAAAGGUUCUGGACUUAACCCGGCGGCUGUGAUAACGGCGCAGGUCCUGUUGGUAAAUCGCCGAGCGGGCAGCUGCUAAGUCACGCUUCUCAUCCAAUAGGUCAAGUGCAUCCUGACGAGCUUGUUCAUUAUCAGCUACAACAUAAGCCGCCACUCGGGGCGAGUCAUGACGGAUGUCACUCGGUAGAACCGCCUCUGCUUCGUAAACCAUGAAGAAAGGCGUAUAACCCGUAGAUCUGUUAGGUGUAGUAUUGAUGCUCCAGAUCACAGAAGGCAACUCCUCCACCCAACAACCCAGCGUCCGCUGUAAAGGGACCAUGAGCCGGGGUUUUAUGCCUUUCAAGAUCUCUUGAUUGGCUCUUUCAGCUUGACCAUUGGAUUAAGGGUGAGCCACUGAUGAAACAUUGAGCCGGAUAUGCUCACGUUGACAGAACUCUUCCAUGGCACCCUUGGACAGAUUAGUACCAUUGUCAGUUAUGAUGUUGUGUGGAAAACCAAAACGAAAGAUCACCUUCUUCAUGAAUUGAACCGAUGUGGAUGCAUCACACUUACUGACCGGCUCUGCCUCAACCCACUUCGUGAACUUAUCAACCGCCACCAGAAGGUGUGUCUUUUUAUCUUUGGACCUUUUGAAAGGCCCAACCAUAUCAAGCCCCCAGACUGCAAACGGCCAAGUAAUUGGAAUCAUCCUCAACUCUUGAGCCGGCACAUGAGCCCGUCGUGAGAACUUCUGACAACCAUCACAUUUACUGACCAAAUCUUCUGCGUCAGCAUGAGCCGUCAGCCAAUAAAAUCCAUGACGAAAAGCCUUGGCCACAAGGGAUUUUGACCUGGCAUGAUGGCCACAAUCACCUGCAUGAAUCUCAUGAAGAAUUUCCUGACCCUCCUCAGGAGAAACACAACGUUGAAAUGCCCCAGUAACACUGCGAUGAUGUAACUCCCCAUUGACAAUUGUCAUUAACUUAGACCGCCGGGUUAUCUGCCUAGCCAAGGUUUCGUCCUUAGGCAAUCGCCCCGGGUCAUGUAAACCAAAUAUGGCACUGUCCAAUCUGGGAUAACAUGAAGAGCCGCCACCAGUUGUGCUUCCGGGUCAGGAACAUCCAAGUCUUCCUCUGUAGGCAACUUGACAGAAGGAUUAUGCAAAACAUCUAAGAAAGUGUUAGGUGGCACCGGCUUACGUUGAGACCCCAGCCGGCUUAAAGCAUCGGCUGCCUCGUUCUUUCUGCGAUCAAUGUGUUCCACCUAGUAACCUUUGAAGUGUCCAGCAAUUACAUCAACUUCACGGUGAUAAGCCGCCAUGAGAGGAUCCUUGGAAUCCCACUUGCCUGAUACUUGUUGAGCCACCAAAUCUGAGUCGCCAAAGCAUCUUACCCGGCUUAGGUUCAUCUCCUUAGCCAUCCGAAGACCAUGGAGCAAGGCCUCAUACUCAGCUGCAUUGUUAGUACAGGGAAACAUCAACCGGAGCACAUAACAAAAUUUGUCACCUCGAGGGGAAGCUAAUACAACUCCAGCCCCCAAGCCUUCCAAUUGCCUGGAUCCAUCAAAAUGAAUAGUCCAAUAUGUGUUAUCCGGUUUUUCUUCAGGCAUCUGCAGCUCUGUCCAAUCGUUGAUGAAGUCCACCAGUGCGUCAGAUUUAAUAGCAGUGCGUGGUACAUACUUUAUACCAUGAGGCCCAAGUUCAAUGGCCCACUUGGUGACUCGUCCUGUGGCUUCUCUGUUUUGAAUGAUAUCGCCCAAAGGAGCAGAACUAACCACAGUGAUGGGGUGACCCUGGAAGUAUUGCUUAAGCUUCCGGCUUGCCAUGAACACCCCAUAAACAAGUUUUUGCCAAUGUGGAUACCUUUGCUUGGACUCAAUAAGCACCUCACUAAUGUAGUAAACCGGCCGUUGAACCGGAUGCUCCUUGCCAGCCUCCUUGCGCUCCACCACAAUGGCCACGCUGACGGCACGUGCGUUAGCAGCCACAUACAUCAAUAAGGGCUCCUUAUCAAUAGGGGCAGCAAGGACCGGCGGCUCAGAUAACUGCUUCUUUAAAUCUUCAAAGGCAGCGUUAGCAGUAUCACUCCAGACGAAGUUGUCCAUCUUCUUCAUCAUCUGGUACAGUGGUAUGGCCUUCUCACCUAACCGGCUUAUGAACCGGCUUAAAGCAGCAAUACAGCCCGCCAGACGCUGAACGUCAUUGAUACAUGCCGGCUUAGCCAAAGAGGUGAUUGCCUUAAUCUUCUCCGGGUUAGCCUCAAUGCCCCUGUUAGAGACCAGAAAACCCAAAAGCUUGCCAGCUGGCACUCCAAAAACGCACUUUGUCGGGUUAAGCAUCAUCUUGUAGACCUAGAGAUUAUCAAAGGUUUCCUUCAAAUCAUCUAUCAAGGUCUCCUUCUCUCUGGACUUCACCACAAUGUCAUCCACAUAAGCAUGAACGUUGCGCCCAAUCUGAUUGUGGAGACAGUUCUGCACACAUCGCUGAUAAGUCGCAUGGGCACUCUUAAGCCCAAAAGGCAUAGACACAUAACAGAAGGCUCCAAACGGAGUGAUGAAAGCCGUCUUCUGCUGGUCCUUAACUGCCAUUUUGAUCUGAUGAUAUCCCGAGUAAGCAUCCAAAAAGCUUAAAUGUUCGCAACCCACCAUAGCAUCAAUGAUUUGAUCAAUACGGGGAAGAGCAAAAGGAUCAGGCGGACAAGCCUUGUUUAAAUCCGUGUAAUCCACACACAUACGCCAGGUACCGUUCUUUUUGAGCACCAGUACUGGGUUAGCCAACCACUCUGGGUGAAAAACUUCAACAAUAAACCCAGCCGCCAAGAGCCGGGACACCUCCUCACCAAUAGCUUUACGCCUCUCCUCAUUAAACCGCCGAAGAAACUGCUUGACCGGCUUAAAUUUUGGAUCAAUAUUAAGAGUGUGCUCAGCGAGUUCUCUCGGUACACCCGGCAUGUCAGAAGGUUUCCAUGCAAAGAUGUCCCGGUUCUCACGGAUGAACUCGAUGAGCGCGCUUUCCUAUUUGGGAUCCAGAUUGGCACUGAUGCUGAACUGUUUAGACGAAUCGCCCGGAACAAAAUCAACAAGCUUGGUUUCAUCAGCCAACUUAAAUUUCAUCACCGGCUCAUGUUCUGUGGUUGGCUUUUUCAAAGAAGUCAUGUCUGCCGGGUCAACAUUGUCUUUGUAGAACUUCAACACCUCCGUUGCACAAACAGACUCAGCAUAAGCAGCAUCGCCUUCCUCACAUUCCAAGGCUAUUUUCUGACUCCCAUGCACUGUGAUGGUGCCCUUAUGACCCGGCAUCUUGAGCUGCAGAUACACAUAACACGGCCGCGCCAUGAAUUUUGCAUAAGCCGGCCGUCCAAACAAUGCGUGAUACGGGCUUCGGAUUUUGACUACCUCAAAGGUCAACUUCUCAGCUCUGGAGUCAUACUCAUCACCAAAGGCUACUUCCAGCUCAAUCUUACCCACUGGGUACGCCGACUUACCGGGCACCACUCCAUGAAAAACAGUGUUGGAUGUCUUGAGCUGUUUAUCAGUCAGCCCCAUGCGACGAAAGGUCUCAUAAUAGAGGACGUUGAUGCUGCUGCCUCCAUCCAUGAGCACUUUUGUGAAUUUGUAUCCACCAACUUGAGGCGCCACCACUAAGGCCAAGUGACCCGGAUUGUCAACCCGGGGAGGGUGAUCCUCCCUACUCCAUAUAAUAGGCUGCUCAGACCAUCUCAGAUAACGAGGGACUGCCGGCUUAACGGCAUUCACAACCCUCUUAUGAAGCUUCUGGUCCCUUUUGCAUAAGCUAGUGGUGAACAUGUGAUACUUCCCACUAUUCAGCUGUUUUGGGUUACUCUGAUACCCGGAUUGCUGCUGUUGUUGACUCCCUUGGCCAGAUUGUUGAUUAUAACCACCUUGAUGACCUUGAGGGCCCUGUCCAUGAAAACCACCGCCGCCUGAGCCGCCGCCCGGGCCAUGAAAGCCGCCGCCCGGCCCGUGGUUUCCAUCAAACAUGUUAGAAUUCUUGAAAGCCUUCAUGAUCGUACAGUCCUUCCACAGAUGAGUGGCCGGCUUCUCCCGGGUGCCAUGUCUUGGACAGGGCUCGUUCAGCAACUGCUCAAGGGUGGGACCUGACCCGCCUAACCGAGGAGGUGGCCUCCCCUUGCGUCGUUGACUGUUGCCUUGCGUAUUCGCCAGAAACUCCGAGCUACCGUCAGCCUUACGUUUAUUAUUACCUCCUUGAUUCGCCGGGUUAUGCUGAAGACCCUUUGCGUUGCCGUUCUUCUUUCCCUUCCCUGAUCUUCUCUUCAUCAGACGCGGGAUCCUUGGUACUAUCGAAAUCGGCAUAUUUGACUAGAGCCGCCAUCAGCUGGCCCAUGUCAUUACAAUCGCGCUUGAGCCGCCCCAGCUUCUGUUUCAGAGGUUCAAAACGGCAAUUUUUCUCCAACAUUAAGACUGCAGAACCGGCAUCCAUCUUAUCAGAUGAACGGAAGCAAUCUAGAAGACUUGGAGUAUACGUAAGGGAAGCAAUGAGGAAGGCACGAGGCAGGGGGCGCGCCCACCCCCCUGGGCGCGCCCUCCACCCUCGUGGGCCCCUUGUGGCUCCCCUGACAUAUUUCUUCCUCCUAUAUAUACCAAUAUACCCUAAAACCAUCGGGGAACAGAAUAGAUCGGGAGUUCCGCCGCCGCAAGCCUCUGUAGCCACCAAAAACCAAUCGGGACCCUGUUCCGGCACCCUGCCGGAGGGGGGAUCCCUCACCGGUGGCCAUCUUCAUCAUCCCGGCGCUCUCCAUGAUGAGGAGGGAGUAGUUCACCCUCGGGGCUGAGGGUAUGUACCAGUAGCUAUAUGUUUGAUCUCUCUCUUGUGUUCUUGAGGUGGUACGAUCUUGAUGUAUCGCAAGCUUUGCUAUUAUAGUUGGAUCUUAUGAUGUUUCUCCCCCUCUACUCUCUUGUAAUGGAUUGAGUUUUCCCUUUGAAGUUAUCUUAUCAGAUUGAGUCUUUAAGGAUUUGAGAACGCUUGAUGUAUGUCUUGCGUGGGAUACCCAUGGUGACAAUGGGGUAUUCUAUUGAUCCACUUGAUGUAUGUUUUGGUGAUCAACUUGCGGGUUCCGCCCAUGAACCUAUGCAUAGGGGUUGGCACACGUUUUCGUCUUGACUCUCCGGUAGAAACUUUGGGGCACUCUUUGAAGUACUUUGUGUUGGUUUCAAUAGAUGAAUCUGAGAUUGUGUGAUGCAUAUCGUAUAAUCAUACCCACGUAUACUUGAGGUGACAUUGAAGUAUCUAGGUGACAUUAGGGUUUUGGUUGAUUUGUGUCUUAAGGUGUUAUUCUAGUACGAACUCUAUAAUAGAUCGAUCCAAAAGAAUAACUUUGAUGUGGUUUCGUACCCUACAAUAAUCUCUUCGUUUGUUCUCCGCUAUUAGUGACUUUGGAGUGACUCUUUUUUGCAUGUUGAGGGAUAGUUAUAUGAUCCAAUUAUGUUAUUAUUGUUGAGAGAAGUUGCACUAGUGAAAGUAUGAACCCUAGGCCUUGUUUCAACGCAUUGCAAUAUCGUUUGUGCUCACUUUUAUCAUUAGUUACCUUGCUGUUUUUAUAUUUUCAGAUUACAAAUACCUUUAUCUACCAUCCAUAUUGCACUUGUAUCACCAUCUCUUCGCCGAACUAGUGCACCUAUACAAUUUACCAUUGUAUUGGGUGUGUUGGGUACACAAGAGAUUCUCUGUUAUUUGGUUGCAGGGUUGUUUGAGAGAGACCAUCUUCAUCCUACGCCUCCCACGGAUUGAUAAACCUUAGGUCAUCCACUUGAGGGAAAUUUGCUACUGUCCUACAAACCUCUGCACUUGAAGGCCCAACAACGUCUACAAGAAGAAGGUUGUGUAGUAGACAUCACAUGUGUCCUUGAAGUUCUGAAUAAACCGGGCUUUUAAUUCAGCCCAGGACCCAAUGGAAUUAGGUGGCAGCCCCUUUAGCUAAGUGCGGGCCGUUCCAUCCAGCAUCAUAGUGAAGUACUUGGCCAUUGCUGCGUCACUAACCUCUAAUAGUUCCAUGGCCAUCUCAUAGCUUUCAAUCCACGCCCCAGGCUGCAAGUUAGCUAUGUAAUUUGGCACCUUCCAAGGUCCCUUGAAAUCCUUGGGUAAACGUUCAUUACGCAUAGCCGACACCAAACAAGGAACACCGCUAGUUCUUGUGGCCACGCCUGCCUCAAUAGAACUCGUCAGAUAAGCGGGGAAGGUUUGGUGAGCCGCCUGCUCCAUCGCCUGCUGAGCCGCUCGCUCAGCCUCUUGACGUACCCUAUCCUGAUUAGCCAAGUUAGGGGCUCCAUCUCGCGUCGGGUCUCGCCCACCCGGCUGAUCACGACGCCGGACGUUGCUUGAAACUGCCGCAAAGUCCAUAUGCCUGCUAUAACUCGGGCUCCGGCUUGGACGAGGGGUCGAAUGAAUCAUGUCAACUGUAAGAGUAUGCCUCCUGUUGUACCAGAACUGUCUGAAGAAGUUCUCUGACCCUUCGUGUUUCAACUGCCGUCGGAGAGUCGCCCUCCACUGGGAGAGCCGCCAAUCGCGCCGCCACAGCGAUCAUGUUCUCCAGCGGGUUAGAAUAAUGACCCGGUGGCGUUGGCACAUACUGAGGUGGAGCAGUGUUCACUCGGGGAGGUUCCGUCACCCGUGGUUGAACCGGCGCCCCAGCUCCGGGCGUCGCCGCCGGGUUUACCUCUGGCGGAUUACUGGGACCUGCACCGGGUGUGCGGAAGAGAUUUCUAGGAUCAUAAAUCAAAGGCAGACAGGAUUGAGACUUCUGGUGCCUUCUCCUCAUGACCUCAUUUGAUGCGUUUAGAUCCAUCGUAAGCUGGAACGCUUCUGAUUGAAGCUGUUGGGCUCGAGCAUCCAAACCCGCCCGCUCCGUAGCCAAUCUGGUGCCCUCAGCUGCUAUGUUUUCCUUGGCUUGUGCUAUCUCCUCACGUAACCGAACCACCUCUGCAUCAUGCGCAGCCUGAUCCGCCAAAUUAACUGUGGCGGUUAACAGGGUUGUCAGUCUAUCCAUGAGAUCAAUCAGCCCCUAAGCCGACGGGCGCACAGGGCCUCCUGCCCCGGCUGCCGCUGACCCGGAGGUUAUUACUGCCGCAGCUGUAGAGUUUUGACCUGGUUGAGUGCCAGCCAUGAAGAUCCCUACUCUACUCGGCGGCUCAAAGGGGUCCGGAAUACUGCUGCCAUCGGAAUAGCCCCCAAGCCCGCCGUCUUGUAAUUGAUACAACGAAUCCGUCUCACCCAUGGACGACUCACCGUCAGAGUAGAUGGCCGUCUCACCGCCAGACACGGAUCCUUUAGAAAGUUCUCCUCCAUGGAUGCAUCCCACGAAGGCACGCUUCAUGGUGGGCGGAGCCUGGGCGGGUCUCGCACGCUGAGCCGUCUCGAUUAUGUCGGUGCAGAUGUCCGGCUCAGGGCCCGGCUCGCCGAUCCGGCCGAUGAAGAUGUGAAUUCCGCCGAAGGGGACCCGGUACCCGUACUCAAUUGAGCCGGCGUCGGGGCCCCAGCCUGCGUCGUCGAUGUAGAGCUUGCCGCGACGACUCUUGGUCAUCCGGCCCACAGCGUAUCCCUUGAGCCCUUCAAAGCUGCCCUUCAAGAACUCAAAUCCACCAUGCGCUGGCCCCACGGUGGGCGCCAACUUUCGUGGAAUUGUCACGGCAGAUGUCCUAGUGAAAGGACUUAGUCAUGGAGCCAUCGCAACUAGGAAGCAAGAAGGGGUUAAUCGGGACAAAGGACACGAGGUUUAUACUGGUUCGGCCCCUUGCGGUGAAGGUAAAAGCCUACGAUCCAGUUUUGAGUGGGAUUAUGUAUGUCUCGGUAACUAGGGAGUGAAUCCGCUUGACCUAGCUCUCGAUUUGAUGUUACUUGCCCUAAACCGCUGCUGGGUCGUCCCCUUAUAUACACGGGUUGACGCCCGGCGGCCAACAGAGUCCCGACCGGCUCAUAAACAGUGUCCGGCUCGGUGAUUAGUUAAUCUUGCCUUAUAAUACAAGUCAUACCAUUAUGGCGGUUUAUCACUACGGGCCUUGAAUCGCCCAUGGGCUUUGGGCCCUUAACUGAACUGCCAUCUUCAAGCUUGGUCUUGGGCUUCGAGAGUCUUCGUUGGUAUAACCCGGCCCCUCCUGGGCGGGUCAUACCUAAUAAUUAUAUCCCCAACAGGGGUGGUGGAGUUUAACUGCAGCAAGCCAGCUUUGACUCAGUGGCUAUCCUGAACUACGACUGCAAGUAACUCUUUGAGGUGGCGCACACGAGUCCACAUAUUCACCAUAUCAAUACACCACUAUGGAUCCGCUCCCGUCUCCCUACGAGAAGGCCAUCCAUAGCACUCACGCUUAUCUUGCGCAUUUUAGAGUAUCCACUUUCACUUGUCUAUGAACUGUACACGCAACCCAGAAGUCCUUUACCGCGGACACGGCUAUUCGAAUAGAUGAUGUUAACCCUGCAGGGGUGUACUUCUUCACACAUGCUCUCGCCACUUACCACCAUGUACACGUCAUGUAUCUCAGCAACCUUCAAGCGGAAGCCUGGCGAGGGAGUCGGCCAUGACCUGACUAACCACACAAGUCUCUAGUCCAGGUUUAUCGCCUAUUCGGUUCCGUCCGCAAGGAGAUCCGGCCGGAGUGUCGCUCACGGCCCCAAACGAUGUGAGCAGGGUUCCCAAGCCCACCAAACGGGCGACGCUUGGUACACCAUGCCACUGCACGUAGUCUGCCCCAAGCCCACCUGUACCGGGUGCCACUUGGUAGACUGCUAGCACUACCUACAAACACCAGAAACUAGUUGCAACUCCUGGACAAAGAUCAUGUUGAUUAAUAAGUCGAGAGAGCUUGGAGUGCCCGGAGCCCAAUGUGUGGUAGUAGUUGUUCAUGGAUCACAAACACAGAACUCAGUUCCUGAGGACUGUUUCAAUGAGACAACCCACCAUGUACUCCUACAUGGCCUCUCACCGCUACCUUUACCAAAUCGUGUUCACACACUUAGCUCUCACACAGUAGGACAUGUUCACACUGUUCCAAUCCAUCCCAGAUGAAUCAGGCCUGACACAACUCUAAGCAUAGCAGGCAUAACAAGCAAGCAUGAAUGAGUAGGCAAAUCAUGGCUCAAACAACUCCUACUCAUGCUAGUGGGUUUCAACUAUUUACUGUGGCAAGGACAGGUCAUGCAGAGGAAAGGGGUUCAGCUACCGCAACAUGUAACAGUUGAAUCGUCGUUUUCCUAAUGCGGUAAAAGAGAGCAGGAGCGAGAGAGUGGGAUUGUAUCGGAAUGCUCAAUGGGGGUUUGCUUGCCUGGCACUUCUGAAGAUAGUAUAGCUCUUCAUUGGUGUCAUCGAACUCAUCGCUGGAAGAAUGUCUACUGAGAGGGGGCAAACACCGGCAAACAAGAGAGAACACAAUCAAUGCAAUGCAACAAUAUGAUGCAUGAUCAUGGCAUGGCAAUAUGCUGGUGUUUGAGCUAAUGCAGCUAGCAAUCAGAUUAAAUGAAGUUGGUUUGAACCAAAGGUUCAAAUUCAAACUCCAUAUGUGAUUAUUUAAAUGCCAAACAUUUGAUUUGCCCUAUUCAGCAACUAUAAGUUGUUCCAACAUGCAUGAAAAUGGUACAGAUGGAUAGAUUGCAUUUUUCUGAUAAUUUUUCAUACAUAAAUUAUUUCAUUUGGAGUUAUGGUUUAUUUUCUAUUAAUUUUAGAAGUUUUGGAUAUGUUCUGAAUAAAUAAAUCUUUUCUGAUUUACUUUAAGUUCCAGAAAGGCUUUAUGACGUCACAGUGACAUCAUCACUACGUCAGCAAGUCAAACGCGCCAGCCGAGGUCAAACCUGACUCGUGGGGCCCGCAUGUCAGUGUAACAGGGCAGGAACAGAGGCUGGCCAGUGGGGCCAGGUCAAGGGCCGCGUCAGCAAGGUCAACACUGACGCGUGGGGCCACUGUGAUUAAAUAAAACUAAACAGGAAUUAAAUUGUUGUUAGUUAAGGGCGUGGGGCCCAUAUGUAAGUGACUAGUGGGGGUGGUGAUUAGCGGGGUCAUUAGUGCUAAUCCGGGUUUAGCCAGAGUUAAGCCGCCGGCGACGAGCCGAGACGGCGGAGGACGUCGGAAUCCAUCCUCCGGUGACAAUUCACGCGGCGGAGGGCAUCUACGCACUGCUGAGGCUCGCCCGCAUCUAGCUGUGCAAGCGGGAGGCCGUGGGGUGGCUGGAGGCGACGGCGGCAUCAAAGGCAGCGGCGGCCGGAGCUUGGGCAGCGACGGCUGUGGUGCUACGAUGCACGACAAGGCGAGCUAGUGGCUGCGUUCGUCUCCUAGGAGCAACCCGAGCACGAUGACGAGCUCAAGUGCAAGCUACGGUGUCCGUAGCCACGACGGCGAUGAAGCACGACGUCGUCGAGCUUCGGAGCUCAUGGGGAUGACGUCUACGGCGAGAGAUAAACCACGGGGGCAGGGGAAACGGUGGCAGAGCUCACCGCGGUCACGCAGGUCUGCUCGGUGUGGCCGGGGACAAGUUAUAGCUCCCGAAUCAACGGAGGCGAUCUUCGGGCGCCGGCCGUGAAGACGACGGCAGUGAGGGCGUUCCGGGGCGUCUGGCGGUGCGUAGCUCGACGUAAAGGACGGGGCCGUCGAAACGAAGCUCAUGGGCAUGUCGAGGGGACGAGGGGAAGGUGGUGGCUGUGGCAACAGCGAGCGGCGGCCAGGGCGUGUUCGGUGGUGCUGUACGGAGAGAGCAGAGGAGGAGGAUGGACGCGGGGAGAGUGAGAGAGGGGCCAGGGGUGUGCGUGGCGUCUCCAGGGGGUCAGGCGCAGGCAGGCAGCCUGGAGGUGGCCGGCGUGUGGCCACGCGCGCCGGGCACACGCACUCGUCCUCCUGGCAGAGGAGGAAGACGACAGGGGAGGCCCAGGUGGGCUGGGCGACCAGCUGGGCCGUCUGGUAUGUUGGCCCAGGUGAGUUCUGCUCUGUUUUACUUUUCUUCUAUUUUCUAUUUAUUUAAACAUUUGCCACUGUUCAAAAAUUCAAAGCUGAACUUAAACAAUGCCAAACAUUCCUCUGGAUAUUUUUAUGUUGCUGAAUGCACUAUUCCAAAUGCACAUAAAAUGUUUCACGGUAUUUGGAAAUAUAUUCUAUACAUGUUAUGAAUAUAAUUCCAAAUGCAAAUAAAAUAAUGAUUUAAAUUCAGUGCCCAAAAUAUUCCUCAAAAAUGUUCAUUAUUUUUGGUUUGGUGCAAAAACCUCUGCCAAAUAUAACCAACAUUAUUUAAGGCCAUUUUGGAACAUUGAAUGCAUUUUCCACGAUUCUUUGCCCUGCUUUUGAUUAAAGUUUUGAGGCUUCAACUAUCCUCAAUUCAAGUUUCAGAAAUUUAAAUAUGAUGCAUGGAUGCAAUGCCACUAAUUACAAGCAUUAAACUGGGGCUGUGACAGUAUUGAGAUACCGACGAUCGAAUCUCGGACAAGUAACAUACCGAUGACAAAGGGAACAACGUAUGUUGUUAUGCGGUUUGACCGAUAAAGAUCUUCGUAGAAUAUGUAGGAGUCAAUAUGAGCAUCCAGGUUCCGCUAUUGGAUAUUGACCGGAGACGUGUCUCGGUCAUGUCUACAUAGUUCUCGAACCCGUAGGGUCGCACGCUUAACGCUCGGUGACGAUCGGUAUUAUGAGUUUAUCUGUUUUGAUGUACCGAAGGUUGUUCGGAGUCCCGCAUGAGAUCAGGGACAUGACGAGGAGUCUCGAAAUGUUCGAGACGUAAAGAUCGAUAUAUUGGAAGGCUAUAUUCGGACAUCGGAAAGGUUCUGAGUUGUUCGGGUAUUUAUCGGAGUACCGGAGAGUUACGGGAAUUCGCCGGGGAGUAUAUGGGCCUUAUUGGGCUUUAGGGGGGGAGAGAGGGCUGCCUAGGGCAGGCCGCGGGCCCCCCAAGGCCUAGUCCGAAUUGGACUAGGGGGAGGGGCGGCGCCCCCUCCUUCCUUCUCUUCUCUCUUCCCCUUCCUUCUCUCCUACUCCUACUACUUGGAAGGGGGGGAAUCCUACUCCCGGUGGGAGUAGGACUCCCCAGGGCACGCCAUAGUAGAGGGACGGCCCUCCCCCUCCUCCACUCCUUUAUAUACGGGGGCAGGGGGCACCCCAUAGACACACAAGUUGAUCAUUGAUCUUUUAGCCGUGUGCGGUGCCCCCCUCCACCAUAAUCCACCUCGGUCAUAUCGUAGCGGUGCUUAGGCGAAGCCCUGCGUCGGUAGCUUCAUCAUCACCGUCAUCACGCCGUCGUGCUGACGGAACUCUCCCUCGAAGCUCUACUGGAUCAUGAGUUCGCAGGACGUCACCUAGCUGAACGUGUGCAGAUCGCGGAGGUGCCGUACAUUCGGUACUAGGAUCGGUCGAUUGUGAAGACGUAUGACUACAUCAAUCGCGUUGUCAUAACGCUUCCGCUUACGGUCUACGAGGGUACGUGGACGACACUCUCCCCUCUCGUUGCUAUGCAUCACCAUAAUCUUGCAUGUGCGUAGGAUUUUUUUUUUUGAAAUUACUACGUUCACCAACAGUACCAGGCACUGUGGCGUUUCUGUGAUGAGAUAAAGCUUUAUUUAUGCUCCCCCUACCGGUGCAUUAUUCAACUUAGGUUGUGCCAUGUGACCAAGGUGAAGGGAAAAAUGAAAGAAUUUAAUGUUUAUUUGCUAAUUAAUACCAUUUCAUGCAAUGAACUGACCACUACAUGCUCUGCUAGGUAAGCUCAAGUAUUUAAGAACAUACAUGCCCCAUAUCUUUUAUUGGUUGAUUUCUUUAUUCAUGUCAACAAAUAAGAAACGAGGUGAAAAUUAAUGCACCAUACCUAAGCGUUUUGAGAUUAUUUGGUUUUCAUAAUGUUCCUAAUGCAUCGGUACAGGGGGAGUAGUGAAGACGUCCAGGAUUACCAACUAAAUAUCGGCUGUGCACAUGACGCGACUUAAUACAAGCAAAAUACAAUCAACUAUUUAUUAAUUACACAUGUGCAUAAAAAUUAGUUAGUACAUACAUUUAAAAGGUUUAUUAAGUAAAAAAUAUUUAAUAAAUAAAAAGGAAUAAUACACUCGCAGUUUCUAUUAAAUUACACAAAAUGAUGAAUACAAACAUUUAUUAAAUAUUUCUGAAACUAGUGUAUAGUUUUUACUCAUGACCUAUAUGCAAAACACUAUAUAAUUGAAAUAUUAUACAUGAUUAAACAUUUGAAUAUCUUUAAUUAUACAAACAUUGUAACUAUACAAAUGUGCGUGUAAUUAUUGAAGAUUUUAUAAUUAUAACAAUAUUUCUAAAUUGUAAUUUAUGAAAUAUUUGUAAUAUAAAUAUAUGAACGUAUUUUAUAAUUCAUAAAAUUAUUUUAAAUAGUACAUGAACAAAAUUUUGUUCUCCACGAACUUCUAAAAAUACAAGCAAGUCAAUUAUACAAACAGUUUCAAAUUUUCAAAUAUUUUGAAAAAUAUCCCAUGAGUUUCUAAAAAAGUCAAAAGUAUUAUUUAAAAUAAUACAUGAAAAAGAUUUGGAAGUUACUUUUAUGGGCGUGCUACGCAUCCAACGGCUGAUCUUUGAUCUUUCAAAAAGAUCAGCCGGGCCGCGAGGCAUCAGAUCUGAAGCUAUCGAGCGGCCGUGCGGCGUCCACCACCAUUGCAACAAACUUCUUGUUGCGGAAACCAUUACAACUGAGAUCUUGCUGCAGAAACUUUUUGCAACAACGACCAUGUUACAUAAUUUUUUUGUGCAUCUUCAGCUCGUCAACAUCACAUCACUAUUGCAACAAGAGCCUUGUUGCAAAAGCCUCAACUACGGCUCAGGGUCAGCCACCGGUGUCGGCCCUUCCACGAGCCGCACUGGCUAGUCGCGGUCGUGGCACGCCGCCAAAUCUGGAGCGCAACACCGACGUCCCCCUUGUCUCCCCUCGCGCAGCCAUGUUUUGGGCAUCUGAGCGGCCAUGGACUUGGCUCCUCCCUGUCGUCCCCUUAUCUCCUUUUCACAACCUUGUUGGGCAGUUGCUGGCCAUGGACUUGGCUCCCUUGAGCAAUCGUUGUGAGCUUCUUGGGGAGGGAGAGGUAGAAGCCAGAGAUGAGAUUGGAUUGGAUUGGGUCACUUAAUCACAUGACAUGCUUUGAAGAAAUGGGAUGUUGGUUGCUUCGCGUGGGCUGAGUGAUGUGCGGCACCACGUGGGCCGCGUGGCACGACAGGGAGGUGGUGGACGCGCUGUUGUUAUACGCCGGCUGAAUCAUAUUAUUUCCCUACUUUUAUUGCUGAGAUUAUAAAUUACUUUUUUGUGAGACAUGAUUCAGUUUUGCUAAAUCACAUCAAGAUGUGUCAUAAUUAUUCCUUCCCCCAUUCCACUAGUAGAAAAAGGACCUAAUGUGAGACACAUUAGUCCCGGUUUGAUUUUGGCUCGGUACUAAUGGUACCAUUAGUGCCGGUUCGAACGGCUAUGCAUUAAUGCCGUUUCGUGUUGAACCUUUAGUACCGGUUCGUGGCACGAACCGGUACUAAAGGGGUCGUGGCAGGCUGGCGUCAGGCCGGGGCCCCACGAUCACCUUUAGUACCGGUUCGUGGCACAAGCCGGUACUAAAGAGCUAACCUUUAGUACCGGUUCGUGCCAUGAACCGGGACUAAAGGGGUCUGACCUAUAGUCCCGGUUGGAGACANNNNNNNNNNNNNNNNNNNNNNNNNNNNNNNNNNNNNNNNNNNNNNNNNNNNNNNNNNNNNNNNNNNNNNNNNNNNNNNNNNNNNNNNNNNNNNNNNNNNNNNNNNNNNNNNNNNNNNNNNNNNNNNNNNNNNNNNNNNNNNNNNNNNNNNNNNNNNNNNNNNNNNNNNNNNNNNNNNNNNNNNNNNNNNNNNNNNNNNNNNNNNNNGAAAAUGAUAAGAACUUCAAAAAAUAAAAUCCUUCGAGAGGUAGUUAUAUUACUACAUCUACUAGUUAGGAAAAUUUGAAAACUUCAAUUUGGACAUGUUUUGCAAAAAGUGUAGGGAAAAUGUAAAAUGGCUAUAACUUUUGCAUACAAUGUCAGAAAAAACGUAUAAUAUAUCAAAACAUUUAGCACGAAAAUCCGCAUAUGAUUUUGACAGCCUACGGCCUGUUUGCAAUUUUUUAGAAUCCUCAAAUUCCAAAAGGAAAAAAGAUAUGCUCAAAUUUCAGUUUUUUUGGUUAAAUCUGGUCAAACUAUGGUCAAACUACUUAUUCAAGAAGUAUUAAUGUUACUACAUAAUUAUUCAAGAAUAUUAGUGUUACUAAAUAAUUAUUUCAAUUUUUUGAAUUUUGGUCAAAUCUGGUCAAACUAUGGUCAAACUUAUUCAAAAAAUAUUAGUGUUACUAAAUAAUUACUGUUUUUUAGAAUAAUAGUUUCAAACUCAAACGGUGAAACAUGUGACCUAAUGCUCAAGCUAAACUGCUGAGGGUUAAUAGGAUUGUCAGCUUACAUUUGUCAGGAAAACAACAAGUGCAGACUUGGAAAGUAGAGGGAAUAGAACUCCGAAGUUAAACGUGCUCAGGCUGGGGAGUGAGAGGAUGGGUGACCGGCCGGGAAGUUAGCCGAUUUGGAAUGAGUGAUCCACACUUGAGUGGUUAAGAGGGGUGAUUAGAGACUAAAUCAUCAAAUAAUUCAGAAAAUUGAAAUCGAAAAAAAUUCAAAAAAAAUUUCCAAAAUUUUCAGAAAAAAAAUUCAAAAAAAAGCCUUUAGUACCGGUUGGUAACACCAACCGGUACUAAAGGUCCCCCAUACCACAGCGCGAGCUCACGCCACGUGGUGGGCCUUUAGUGGCGGUUCCUACCGAACCGGUACUAAAGGGGGGGCCUUUAGUCUCCACUCUUUAGUGCCGGUUGCAGAACCGGCACUAAAGGCCCUUACGAACCGGUGAUAAAGCUUCGUUUUCUACUAGUGUUCGCUCCGGCGACCCGUCGGCGCUUCCCCGCCUAUACUUAGUACGAGUUGAUGGGACAUCCCGCCCGAGUGCGGAGGAGGUCUGCGAGGGUGGCCGGCUUUGGUGCCUCCUAUCAUGCCAUUCGACGUGCCGAAACGCAUAAUGACCUUCAAAAGGAUCUAAUUGAGGACUGGUGGUCAUGAAAUGGGCGACAAAACUAGUUUGAUGUUGUAUGUUUGUCGUAUUGUUGACUAUUUGUUGUAUUGUUCAUGAACUAUUUGUUGUAUUGAAUAUAGAAUAUUUGUUUGAGUUAUAGUAAUAAUUGAACUGUUUAAUGUUGAUUUAUUUUGUGUGUGUUUGAUCUUUUUGGUUCUAUGUUGAGUGAAAAAUGUUGUUUGUUGAUAGUGAGUAUUGUGCUACGAUCAUCAAAUUCAUAAUUUUUCCAGCAAAGACGUAAGUAUAUGUCGGGGAACGUAGUAAUUUCAAAAAAAUUCCUACGCACACGCAAGAUUAUGGUGAUGCAUAGCAACGAGAGAGGAGAGUGUUGUCCACAUAGCCUCGUAGACCAUAAGCGGAAGCGUUUAUCAACGCGGUUGAUGUAGUCGUACACCUUCACGAUCCGUCCCGAUCAAGUACCGAACGUACGGCACCUCCGCGUUCAGCACACGUUCAGCUCGAUGACGUCUUCGCCUUCUUGAUCCAGCAAGAGGGGCGAAGUAGUAGAUGAGUUCCGACAGCACGACGGCGUGGUGACGGUGUUGGUGAAGAACAAUCUCCGCAGGGCUUCGCCUAAGCACUACGAAAAUUAUGACAGAGGAUAAACUAGAGGGGACGGAAUUGCCGGCACACGGCUUGGUGUUUCUUGAUCUGUCUUGGGUGCUAGCCCUACCCCUCUAUUUAUAUGUUGAGCCUUGGGGUUGAAACUUGGAGUAAAAGCCUCCACAAAGUCGGUUUCACCCGAAAGGCAAGAGUUCUUCUCGGACUCCAGGGCCAGACGUCAGGGUUCCCGGCGUCUGGACCCAGACGCCAGGGACCCUGGCGUCUGGCCCCUGGACUACGCAAAACUUCCUUUUGCGCUUUCCAAAAACCUUGUGGGCUUUCCCCUUUGUCCCAAAUAAAGUGUUCUCGUUCCAAACAUUUUGGGAAACAUCCGGAAACUCUUCUGGUGAAUUCCGGAACCCUUCCGGAGACUAAACACUAUUAUCCCAUAUAUCAAUCUUUAUCUCCGGACCAUUCCGGAGUUCCUCGUCAUGUCCGUGAUCUUAUCCGGGACUCCGAACAACAUUCAGUUGCCAACAUACAUAACUCAUAUAAUACUAUAUCGUCAACAAACGUUAAGCGUGCGGACCCUACGGGUUCGAGAACUAUGUAGACAUGACCGAGACAUCUCUCUGGUCAAUAACCAAUAGCGGAACCUGGAUGCCCAUAUUGGCGCCUACAUAUUCUACGAAGAACUUUAUCGGUCGAACCGCAUAACAAUAUACGUUGUUCCCUUUGUCAUCGGCAUGUUACUUGCCCGAGAUUUGAUCGUCGGUAUAUCAAUACCUAGUUCAUUCUCGUUACCGGCAAGUCUCUUUACUCGUUCCGUAAUGCAUCAUCCCGCAACUAACUCAUUAGUCACAUUGCUUGCAAGGCUUAUAGUGAUGUGCAUCACCGAGAGGGCCCAGAGAUACCUCUCCGACAAUUGGAGUGAAAAAUCCUAAUCUCUAUCUAUGCCAACUCAACAAACACCAUCGGAGACACCUGCAGAGCAUUUUUAUAAUCACCCAGUUACGUUGUGACGUUUGAUAGGACACAAAGUGUUCCUCCGGCAUUCGGGAGUUGCAUAAUCUCAUAGUUAUAGGAACAUGUAUAAGUCAUGAAGAAAGCAAUAGCAAUAAACUAAACAAUCAUAGUGCUAAGCUAACGGAUGGGUCUUGUCCAUCACAUCAUUCUCCUAAGGAUGUGAUCCCGUUUAUCAAAUGACAACACAUGUUCUAUGGUUAGGAAACAUAACCAUCUUUGAUAAACGAGCUAGUCAAGUAGAGGCCUAUUAGGGACACUUUGUUUUGUCUAUGUAUUCACACAUGUACUAAGUUUCCGGUUAAUACAAUUCCAGCAAUAAUAAUAAACAUUUAUCAUGAAAUAAGGAAAUAAACAAUAAAUUUAUUAUUGCCUCUAGGGCAUAUUUCCUUCAGUCUCCCACUUGCACUAGAGUCAAUAAUCUAGUUCACAUCGCCAUGUGAUUUAACACAAAUAUUUCACAUCACCAUGUGAUUAACACCCAUAGUUUCACAUCGCCAUGUGACCAACACUCAAAGGGUGUACUAGAGUCAGUAACCUUAGUUCACAUCUCCAUGUGAUUAACACCCAAAGAGUACUAAGGUGUGAUCAUGUUUUGCUUGUGAGAAAAGUUUAGUCAACGGGUCUACCAUAUUCAGAUCCGUAUGUAUUUUGCAAAUUUCUAUGUCAACAAUGCUCUGCACGGAGCUACUCUAGCUAAUUGCUCCCACUUUCAAUAUGUAUCCAGAUUGAGACUUAGAGUCAUCUGGAUCAGUGUCAAAACUUGCUUCGACGUAACCCUUUACGACGAACCUUUUGUCACCUCCAUAAUCGAGAAACAUAUCCUUAUUCCACUAAGGAUAAUUUUGACCGAUGUCCAGUGAUCUACUCAUAGAUCACUAUUGUACUCCCUUGCCAAACUCAGUGUAGGGUAUACAAUAUAUCUGGUACACAGCAUGGCAUACUUUAUAGAACCUAUGGCUGAGGCAUAGGGAAUGACUUUCAUUCUCUUUCCAUCUUCUGCCGUGGUCGGGCUUUGAGUCUUACUCAAUUUCACACCUUGCAAUAUAGGCAAGAACUCCUUCUUUGACUGUUCCAUUUUGAACUACUUAAAAAAUUUGUCAAGGUAUGUACUCAUUGAAAAAACUUAUCAAGCGUCUUGAUCUAUCUCUAUAGAUCUUGAUGCUCAAUAUGUAAGCAGCUUUACCGAGGUCUUUCGCUGAAAAACUUCUUUCAAAUACUCCUUUAUGCUUUCCAGAAACAUCUACAUUAUUUCUGAUCAACAAUAUGUCAUUCACAUAUACUUAUCAGAAAUGCUAUAGUGCUCCCACUCACUUUCUUAUAAAUACAGGCUUCACCGCAAGUCUGUAUAAAACUAUAUGCUUUGAUCAACUCAUCAAAGCGUAUAUUCCAACUCCGAGAUGCUUGCACCAGUCCAUAGAUGGAUCGCUGGAGCUUGCACAUUUUGUUAGUACCUUUAGGAUCGACAAAACCUUCUGGUUGCAUCAUAUACAACUCUUCUUUAAGAAAUCCAUUAAGGAAUGUAGUUUUGACAUACAUUUGCCAGAUUUCAUAAAAUGUGGCAAUUUGCUAACAUGAUUCGGACAGACUUAAGCAUCGCUACGAGUGAGAAAAUCUCAUCGUAGUCAACACCUUGAACUUUGUCAAAAACCUUUUUCGACAAGUCUAGCUUUGUAGAUAGUAACACUACUAUCAGCGUCCGUCUUCCUCUUGAAGAUCCAUUUAUUCUUAAUGGCUUGCCGAUCAUCGGGCAAGUCAACCAAAGUCCAUACUUUGUUCUCAUACAUGGAUCCCAUCUUAGAUUUUAUGGCCUCAAGCCAUUUUGCGGAAUCUGGGUUCAUCAUCGCUUCCUCAUAGUUCGUAGGUUCGUCAUGGUCUAGUAACAUGACUUCUAGAACCGGAUUACCAUACCACUCUGGUGCGGAACAUACUUUGGUUGACCUACGAGGUUCGGUAGUAACUUGAUCUGAAGUUUCAUGAUCAUCAUCAUUAACUUCCUCACUAAUUGGUGUAGGCAUCACUGGAACUGAUUUCUGUGAUGAACUACUUUCCAAUUCAGGAGAAGGUACAAUUACCUCGUCAAGUUCUACUUUCCUCCCACUCACUUCUUUUGAGAGAAACUCCUUCUCUAGAAAGGAUCCAUUCUUAGCAACGAAUGUGUUGCCUUCGGAUCUGUGAUAGAAUGUGUACCCAACUGUCUCCUUUGGGUAUCCUGUGAAGACACAUUUCUCUGAUUUGGGCUUGAGCUUAUCAGGAUGAAACUUUUUCACAUAAGCAUCGCAACCCCAAACUUUAAGAAACGACAACUUUGGUUUCUUGCCAAACCACAGUUCAUAUGGUGUCGUCUCAACGGAUUUAGAUGGUGCCCUAUUUAACGUGAAUGCAGUUGUCUCUAAUGCAUAACCCCAAAACGAUAGCGGUAAAUCAGUAAGAGACAUCAUAGAUCGCACCAUAUCUAAUAAAGUGCGGUUACGACGUUCGGACACACCAUUACACUAUGGUGUUCCGGGUGGCGUGAGUUGCUAAACUAUUCCGCAUUGUUUCAAAUGAAGACCAAACUCAUAACUCAAAUAUUCACCUCCACGAUCAGAUCGUUGAAACUUUAUUUUCUUGUUACGACGAUUUUCCACUUCACUCUGAAAUUAUUUGAACUUUUCAAAUGUUUCAGAUUUAUGUUUCAUCAAGUAGAUAUACCCAUAUCUGCUCAAAUCAUCUGUGAAGGUCAGAAAAUAACGAUACCUGCCGCGAGCCUCAACACUCAUCGGACUGCAUACAUCAGUAUGUAUUAUUUCCAACAAGUCUGUUGCUCGCUCCAUUGUUCCGGAGAUCGGACUCUUAGUCAUCUUGCCCAUGAGGCAUGGUUCACAAGCAUCAACUGAUUCAUAAUCAAGUGAUUCCAAAAGCCCAUCAGCAUGGAUUUUCUUCAUGCGCUUUACACCAAUAUGACCUAAACGGCAGUGCCACAAAUAAGUUACACUAUCAUUAUUAACUUUGCAUCUUUUGGCUUCAAUAUUAUGAAAAUGUGUGUCACUACGAUCGAGAUUCAAUAAACCAUUCACCUUGGGUGUAUGACCAUUGAAGGUUUUAUUCAUGUAAACAGAACAACAAUUACUCUCUGACUUUAAAUGAAUAACCGUAUUGCAAUAAACAUGAUCAAAUCAUAUUCAUGCUUAACGCAAACACCAAAUAACAUUUAUUUAGGUUCAACACUAGUCCCGAAAGUAUAGGGAGUGUGUGAUGAUGAUCAUAUAAAUCUUGGAACCACUUCCAACACACAUCGUCACUUCACCCUUAACUAGUCUCUGUUCAUUCUGCAACUCCCGUUUCGAGUUACUAAUCUUAGCAACUGAACUAGUAUCAAAUACUGAGGGGUUUCUAUAAACACUAGUAAAGUACACAUCAAUAACAUGUAUUUCAAAUAUACCUUUGUUCACUUUGCCAUCCUUCUUAUCCGCCAAAUUCUUGGGGCAGUUCCGCUUCCAGUGACCAGUCCCUUUGCAGUAGAAGCACUUAGUCUCAGGCUUAGGUCCAGACUUGGGCUUCUUCACUUGAGCAGCAACUUGCUUGUCGUUCUUCUUGAAGUUCCCCUUCUUCCCUUUGCCCUUUUUCUUGAAACUAGUGUUCUUUUCAACCAUCAACACUUGAUGCUUUUCUUGAUUUCUACCUUCGCCGAUUUUAGCAUCGCGAAGAGCUUGGGAAUUUUUUUCGUUAUCCCUUCCAUAUUAUAGUUCAUCACGAAGUUAUAGUAACUUGGUGAUCGUGACUAGAGAACUUUGUCAGUUACUAUCUUAUCUGGAAGAUUAACUCCCACUUGAUUCAAGCAAUUGUAGUACCCAGACAAUCUGAGCACAUGCUCACUGGCUGAGCUAUUCUCCUCCAUCUUGUAGGCAAAGUACUGUCAGAGGUCUCAUACCUCUUGACACAGGCAUGAGUAUGAAAUACCAAUUUCAACUCUUGGAACAUCUUAUAUGCUCCGUGGCGUUCAAAACAUUUUUGAAGUCCCGGUUCUAAGCCGUAAAGCAUGGUGCACUUAACUAUCAAGUAGUCAUCAUACCGAGCUUGUCAAAACGUUCAUAACGUCUACAUCUGCUCCUACAAUAGUUAUGUCACCUAGCGGUGCAUCAAGGACAUAAUUUUUCUGUGCAGCAAUGAGGAUAAUCCUCAGAUCACAGAUCCAAUCCGCGUCAUUGCUACUAACAUCUUUCAACAUAGUUUUUCUCUAGGAACAUAUCAAAAAAUAAACGGGGAGCUAUAUCGCGAGCUAUUGAUCUACAACAUAGUUAUGCAAAUACUACCAGGACUAAGUUCAUGAUAAAUUAAAGUUCAAUUAAUCAUAUUACUUCAGAACUCCCACUUAGAUAGACAUCCCUCUAAUCAUCUAAGAGAUCACGUGAUCCAAAUCAACUAAACCAUGACCGAUCAUCACAUGAAAUGGAGUAGUUUUCAAUGGUGAACAUCACUAUGUUGAUCAUAUCUUCUAUAUGAUUCACGCUCGACCUUUCGGUCUCAGUGUUCCGAGGCCAUAUCUGCAUAUGCUAGGCUCGUCAAGUUUAACCUGAGUAUUCUGCGUGUGCAAAACUGGCUUGCACCCGUUGUAUAAGAACGUUGAGCUUAUCACACCCGAUCAUCACGUGGUGUCUCGGCACGACGAACUUUGGCAACAGUGCAUACUUAGGGAGAACACUUGUACCUUGAAAUUUUAGUGAGAGAUCAUCUUAUAAUGCUACCGUCAAUCAAAGCAGAAUAAGAUGCAUAAAGGAUAAACAUCACAUGCAAUCAAUAUAAGUGAUAUGAUAUGGCCAUCAUCAUCUUGUGCCUUUGAUCUCCAUCUCCAAAGCACCGUCAUGAUCACCAUCGUCACCGGCGCGACACCUUGAUCUCCAUCGUAGCAUCGUUGUCGUCUCGCCAACUAUUGCUUCUACGACUAUCGCUACCUCUUAGUGAUAAAGUAAAGCAAUUACAAGGCGAUUGCAUUGCAUACAAUAAAGCGACAACCAUAUGGCUCCUGCCAGUUGCCGAUAACUCUGUUACAAAACAUGAUCAUCUCUUACAAUAAAAUAUAGCAUCAUGUCUUGACCAUAUCACAUCACAACAUGCCCUGCAAAAACAAGUUAGACGUCCUCUACUUUGUUGUUGCAAGUUUUACAUGGCUGCUACGGGCUGAGCAAGAACCGUUCUUACCUACGCAUCAAAACCACAACGAUAUUUCGUCAAGUUAGUGUUGUUUUAACCUUCAACAAGGACCGGCCGUAGUCACACUCGGUUCAACUAAAAUUGGAGAAACUGACACCCGCCAGCCACCUGUGUGCAAAGCACGUCCGUAGAACCAGUCUCGCGUAAGCGUACGCGUAAUGUCGGUCUGGGCCGCUUCAUCCAACAAUACCGCCGAACCAAAGUAUGACAUGCUGGUAAGCAGUACGACUUGUAUCGCCCACAACUCACUUGUGUUCUACUCGUGCAUAUAACAUCUACACAUAAACCUGGCUCUGAUACUAUUGUUGGGGAACGUAGAAAUUUCAAAAAAAAUCCUACGCACACACAAAAUCAUGGUGAUGCAUAGCAACAAGAGAGGAGAGUGUUGUCCACGUACCCUCGUAGACCGUAAGCGGAAGCGUUUAUCAACGCGAUUGAUGUAGUCGUACACCUUCACGAUCCAUCCCGAUCAAGUACCGAACGUACGGCACCUCCGCGUUUAGCACACGUUCAGCUCGAUGACGUCCUCGCCUUCUUGAUCCUGCAAGAGGGGCGAAGUAGUAGAUGAGUUCCGACAGCACGACGGCGUGGUGACGGUGUUGGUGAAGAACAAUCUCCACAGGGCUUCGCCUUAGCACUACGAAAACUAUGACGGAGGAUAAACUAGAGGGGACGGAAUUGCCGGCACACGGCUUGGUGUUUCUUGAUCUGUCUUGGGUGCUAGCCCUACCCCUCUAUUUAUAUGUUGAGCCUUGGGUCGAAACUUGGAGUAAAAGCCUCCACAAAGUCGGUUUCACCCGAAAGGCAAGAGUUCUUCUCGGACUCCAGGGCCAGACGCUAGGGUUCCCGGCGUCUGGACCCAGACGCCAGGGACCCUGGCGUCUGGCCCCUGGACUCCGCAAAACUUCCUUUUGCAAAAACCUUGUGGGCUUUCCCCUUUGGCCCAAAUAAAGUGUUCUCGUUCCCAAACAUUUCGGGAAACAUCCGGAACCUCUUCCGGUGAAUUCUGGAACCCUUCCGGAGAGUAAACACUAUUAUCCCAUAUAUCAAUCUUUAUCUCCGGACCAUUCCGCAGUUCCUCGUCAUGUCCGUGAUCUUAUCUAGGACUCCGAACAACAUUCGGUUGCCAACAUACAUAACUCAUAUAAUACUAUAUCGUCAACGAACGUUAAGCGUGCGGACCCUACGGGUUCGAGAACUAUGUAGACAUGACCGAGACAUCUCUCUGGUCAAUAACCAAUAGCGGAACCUGGAUGCCCAUAUUGGCUCCUACAUAUUCUACGAAGAUCUUUAUCGGUCGAACCGCAUAACAAUAUAUGUUGUUCCCUUUGUCACCGGUAUGUUACUUGCCCGAGAUUCUAUCGUCGGUAUCUCAAUACCUAGUUCAAUCUCGUUACCGGCAAGUCUCUUUACUCGUUCCGUAAUGCAUCAUCCCGCAACUAACUCAUUAGUCACAUUGCUUGCAAGGCUUAUAGUGAUGUGCAUUGCCGAGAGGGCCCAGAGAUACCUCUCCGACAAUCGGAGUGAAAAAUCCUAAUCUCGAUCUAUGCCAACUCAACAAACACCAUUGGAGACACCUGUAGAGCAUCUUUAUAAUCACCCAGUUACUUGUGACAUUUGAUAGGACACAAAGUGUUCCUCCGGCAUUCGGGAGUUGCAUAAUCUCAUAGUUAUAGGAACAUGUAUAAGUCAUGAAGAAAGCAAUAGCAAUAAACUAAACGAUCAUAGUGCUAAGCUAACGGAUGGGUCUUGUCCAUCACAUCAUUCUCCUAAUGAUGUGAUCCCGUUUAUCAAAUGACAACACAUGUUCUAGGGUUAGGAAACAUAACCAUCUUUGAUAAACGAGCUAGUCAAGUAGAGGCAUACUAGGGACACUUUGUUUUGUCUAUGUAUUCACACAUCUACUAAGUUUCCGGUUAAUACAAUACUAGCAUGAAUAAACAUUUAUCAUGAAUUAACAAAAUAAAUAAUAACUUUAUUAUUGCCUCUAGGGCAUAUUUCCUUCAGUAUAAAAGUUAGAGCAUCUCCAACAGCCACGCCAAAAGACGCGCGCGCGGUAAAUUGGCUUUUGAGCGCGCGCGGGACGUUUUCGCGCGCUCCAGCAGUGGCGGGAAACUAGCGCGCGCGGGAAACGAUUACGCGUGCGCGGGAAAAGGCGGCAGCUCGCGCGCUACAUUUGGCGCACCGCGUUCAGCGCGCCUAUAAAUUGCAGCGCCCUCUGCUGCUCUCUCCAUCGCCCUCUGCCGCCCUCUGCAUCCGACACGCCACCACUGCGCCACCAUGCCGCCUCGCCGCCGAGGAGGUUCGGGCUACCGCGGCGUCCGCGUGUGUCCGUGCGGGAGCGGGCACAGGAGUUGGCGCCUUUCCCGCGGCUUCUCACCAACGAGGAUCGUCGCAAGCACCGGAGGCGGGAGCGUCGUCUCAGGCUGGCCGAGAUGGAUGAGCAAGCUAUGGCGUUGUGGAGAUAUCGCUUCCCGCACGACAUCAUCAACGAGGAACAGUUCUUCGCCGAGAGGAGGGCGGAGAGAGCGAAGAGGAGGGAGGAGCGAGCCGCCUAUCGUGAGGACAAGCGAACGCGGAAGGCGGUCGCUAAAUACAACGAAGCACUAGGAGAUGCGUCCUCCUGGGACUCCGGCGACGAGCGGUUCCUUGACGCCUACGCUCCGACGUCGGAGGAGGACAUCACCGAGGCAGAGUCCGAGUCGGACGAGUAGUAGCAGUUUUUCGUUUUAUUUGUAUCGUAGAAGCAGGCUAUGGUGAACUAUUUAUCGUAGAAGCAGGCUAUGGUGCGCUGGCUCCAUCUAUCGUAGGAGAAGACUAUGAACUAUUUAUGGAACCAAAUAUGUAUCGAAUCGUAGUAGGAAAAAAUAGAUGAAAUAUAGCCUGCUGGAGCGGCGUGGGCGCGCUUUAAUUUGCGGCGGCCGCUAGAGCCAGCGCACCGCCUCGCGCAAAAGCUGGCUAACCCGGCGCUGUAUUCUGACUUUUAACACACGACGCGUUGCACGGCUAUUGGAGAUGCUCUUAUGAAUGAUUUCGCGUCAUAAAAUCCAGCAGAUAAAAAUCAAGCUUGAGUUGUUUUUACCUGCAUGCAUGGACACUUGCGUGGUUCCAUGGAUGGGGUACAUCAUGGAUUCACGGUCAGUGCAUCAACGGAAGCUACUCCGUUUCUGUUUCCACCAGCUUCAGCAGAUAUAUGCACUACUAGCUAGCUAGAGACCAUAUAUACUACGGGUAUCCGACUAGAACUUGUGCAAGGCUCAAGGGCAGAAAUCGAGUCAGCCGUUCCACGGGCUCGAAGAAGAGUUUCUCGUCGCUGCCGUCCACAAGACGGUGCAUGCAAAUCCCGCCGUUCUGAGGACGAGGCACGCGGUCGACGUAGUAGACGCAGUUGCCUUCAAUGGCAGGAAGAUUGCCAGUAUCUACGGACAGACAACGAUUGCGGCCAAGGAAGAUAGCACGGUUUCCUAUUACAUUUGAUCGCCUUGAGAAUUCUAUUCUCGAUGUCAACCCUGAAAACCUGCAGGCCGCCAUGGGACGACAGGAAGCGAACAAGGAGCAGCUCCCCGGCGUUGUCCACGAGGAACGUCGGCAGGAUUUCUUCCUCCCAGGAGCCGGCGAUGACGGUGCUGAUCGUCUCCGACUCGUCGUCUUGACGCUGGCCUUUCACGACCACGACGGUCCCCUUGUCGUCGACGGCAUAUGCGCGGCCUUGAAAGGCCACCACGGAUCCGAACCCGUCGAGAUCUGGAUACGCCGAGAAUUCCAACAUCCAGUCGAGAUCGCUAGUCGGGUCGACGCAUAUGCCGUGAAACGGAUAGAAGAUGUAGAACAACAUCGGCGACGAGCAAGCUGCCACCAGUUGCGCGCCGAGGCAGUACGGGGGUUUCUUCGAAAAACGAACGAGGUGGCCGGUGAAAGGGUUGAGGACGGCCAUCAUGUUGAGCCCAAAGGUCUCUUGCAGGACGAGGAGGCCGUCCUCAGUGGAGGUGAUGUAGACGUACCCUCGGAGCCUGAGCACGUUCAUCCACAGGAAGCGGCCGGUGUCGGCGUGCAGCAAAAGGCAGCGGCCAGAGUCGCAGUUCAGGGCGUGUGACAGCAGCAUGAUCCAUCCUCGGGGCGGAACCGCUGGUCGGGGCCACGCGGGUCAUCGGUGGCGGCACGCCAGUUGUGGCACACGGCGCGGAGGCUCAUGUAGUAGUCGAGGUCGCUGGUGGCGAGGAAGACGUCCGCAACGCUGUUGACGAGCUCCGAGGGUAUUGAUGACCACUUCACCGGUGUGAUGGUUGCCGUUGCAGCGCUGUGGCGGUGCCAGUUUGCACUUUUAGCUACAUUUCAGUCAGCUGACUUUUCAUUUUAUGGUCAAUCAAUUUCUUUUUGUUGGAUCGUGCUUUAAGAUCUGUGUAUUUUCAUUUUUUUCUGUUUAAUUCUGUUGUUGGGCUGGGCUGGAAGGAAUCGAUUGAUGCGUUGUUUUCGUCAGUCGAAUUGGUACCAGGCUGAUUUCUUUGUCUUGGUAGCACCCGUUUAAUUUUGGGUUGCAUAUUUUCUUUUUCCUUUUUCCUUUUCGUUAUUGAUUAUAUUUUUUUUGUGGGUUUUUGGCUAUGUGUAAUUAUAUACAUACAAAUAAUAUAUAAAAUGUGCCAAAAUUUCAUAAUUAUACGAAUAUUUUUGCAAUUACGAGAAAAUGCAAUUUCUGUGCAAAGUUGUGCGUAAGUUUUUGCUAUAAAUUUUAUUUCUUCUUAAAGAAAAUACGAACGCCCCUAAUUCAUUUUUUUUAAAUCAUUAUUUUGAUAUUGUUUUAGUCUUUACUUCAUAUUCAUUCUACUUUAAGGUCAAUACCAAUGCCAUAAUUCAUUUCUUCUUAGAUUUUGUUUUUGCAAAAGUUCCACUUUUAUAUGAUUAUUCUUGCAUAUUGUAUAAAGAAGCGUACUUUUACGUAUAUUUCGUGCAAAUUUUGUCAAUGUUUGUUUUAGAUUCUUUUUCCCAUUUUUUUUGCUUAAAUGGUAAUACCAAUGCCGCUCAUUCAUUCUUCCUUUAUUGGUAUUUUUGCUUCAUUUUUUUAUUUAUGUUUUUUGUUUCUAUGCAUUUUCCUUUUCACUUUUUCUUUCCUUUAUUGGUUAUUUUUUGUUUUGUGUGUGUUUUUGGCCGAAUAUAAUUAUAUACAAAAAAACCAUAGGAGGCUGUAUUGGCGAGAUCCAAGGGUUCACAGCAGCCCAAAAGAAAAAACGCCUGGAAGUCCGAGGACCUUUAGUACCGUACCGAACCAGCAGCCUUCGCGCCAAGCGACAACCGCCCUUGUCCCUUUCCUUUUUCCAUUCAGCCUACUUCUUAGCUUUGUUCCGUCAGUCUAAGGCAAAGCUUAAGUGGUUUUUCAUGAUAUAUGAUUAUUUUUACAUAUUACGAUAACGUGCAAUUUCAGUGUAAAGUUGUGCAUAAGUUUUUUAGAAAUCCAUUAUUGCAGUUACACUAUGUGUAAAUUAUACUAGAAUGAAAAUAAUGCAUUAUUAUAUGCUUAUUCUUCGCAUAUUUCAAAAAGUGCAAUUUCAGUGCGAAUUGUGUGCAUGUUUUGGAAGUUUUUUUCUUUUUCAUUUUGUUUCUUCUUAAAGAGUUUCUUUUUUUUUGGAAACAUCAUUAUUUUGAUUUUGUUUCACUUUUUUUCUUAAUGGGUAAUACCAAUGCCACGAAUUCAUUCUUUCGUAGAAAACUUUAUUAUUUAUUUAUUUAUUAUUUUGUUUUAGUUUACACUAUUAUACAUUUAUUCUUGUAUAUUAUAAAGAAUGCAAUUUCUGUGUGAGUUGUGUCCAAUUUUUUUAUCAUUUUGUUUAAAUUAUUUUUCAUUUAUUUCUUUUUGAAUGGUAAUACCAAUGCCAAUAAUUUGUGCAAAUUUAAUUCGUUUCUCCUUUAAAAAGGUCUUUUAAUUUUGAAUUAGUUUUAGUAUUAAUUAUGCUCCAUCUGCACAACCAAAAAGCUAAUGAUGAUUGUCUGUGGCGCAUGUGUGUGUAUGUAUGUGGGCGUGUCUACAUGUUUAUGUGCGCAUGGUGCCUACAUGUGCGUGCUCUUGCGUCACAGUCUACUAUAGUUUUGACUUCCAAAGCUCACGUUUUCAUGUAUGCUUUGAGAUGAAUAUAUACUCACUCAAUUUUUAUGCAAUGUGUGUGCGGUUCAUAUCGCUAUUUAAAGUUGCGCUACUAUAUGUUUAUUUUUACAUAUUAUAAAAUAAUACAAUUUCUGCAACAAUCAUGUUUUGUCAUUAUUUGUUUUAUGUGCUUUUACAUUUUCUUUCAUCUUUUGUGCAAUGCAAUACCAUGCUACUAACCACGGCCAGCCGGAGCUAGGUAGCUCAUAGAGGGACGCGUCAAGCCGGAGCUAGCUAGCAAACGCGCCACGGCCAGCCAGAGAUAAGCUAGCUCACGCACGCACGCACACGCUGCAUGUCCAAAAGAAAGGAUGACUUGCCCAAAUCUAAUUCAAUCAACUGACUGGUAGUCAGUCUCGCUAGUUUGACCCUUUGAGGAACUGGGGAACGCACCGGCAUGAGAAAAGAAUUCCUACGUGCACGCCUCCAUCCACCCUUGCUUCCCUUGGAGAUUCGAGUGCAUGCAAAUCGCCUUCCCCAUAUGCAUGUAUUAUACCCCCUCCAUUCCAAAAUAUAAUGCGUUCGCGCUGCUAAGGUCGAACUUUGACCAUAAAUUUAACCAACGAGACCGACUGCAGCGGGAGAAAAAAUUAUAUAAUUGAAAACUUUUUUUGAAUACGAAUUCACUGGUAUAACUUUUGCUCCCGCCACAAUCGGUUUUGUUGGUUAAAUUUAUGGUCAAAGUUGAAGCACGGGAAUAGAGGAAGCACUAUACUUUGGAACGGAGAGAGUACAUGAUUGUAUAGUCAUUCUUUCCAUAUGUAUGCUGACUACUUUUUGUGCAGGCAUCUUUAGCAAAGGUCUAGCCUAGAGGCAAAUAACAUAGACCACUCUACCAUGCAACGCACCACACACCAAUGGCAGAUUUUUCUGUGCGAGUGAAAUUAUAUUUUCUAAACGAGUGAAAUAAUUUUUUUGACGAGAGAAUUUAUUAUCUAAAGUUAAAUCGUUGUUUUGAAAUGAAUGAAAUAUGCUUUUGGAAUGGGUGAAACUAGAUUUUGAAAUGAGUAAAAUUUGUGUUUUGAAGUGAUGAGUGAAAUAAGUCUUCUGAAACAAGUGAAAUAUGUUUUUUUUAAUGGGUGAAAUCAGAUUUUUCUGUACCAGUGAUUUUUUUUUAAAUGAGUGAAAUAAGAUUUUUUUUUAAUGAGAGAAUUUUUUUUCUGAAGUUAAAUCAUUGCUUUGAAAUGAGUGGAAUGUGUUUUUGAAGUGGAUGAAACCAUAUUUUGAAAUGAGUAAAAUUUGUGUUUCGAAAUGAUUAGUGAAAUAAGUCUUCUGAAACAAGUGAAAUAUGUUUUUUGAAACGGGUGAAAUUAGUAUUUUCAAAUGAGUAAAACUGGUGUUUUGAAACGAUGAGUGAAAUAUGUUUUUCUAUUUGACUAAAAUCAGUUGUUUGAAAUGAGUGAAAACAUUUUUCUGAAUUGUGUGAAAUGAGUGAAAUUGCUUCCUUGAAAUAAGUGACUUUUUUAGUUGUGUGGACUAAGUAUUUUGAAUUAAGUGAAAUGAAUGAUUUAGAAAAUAUUGAAUUAUGUUAUUUGAAAUAAGUGAAAACAUUUUUCUGAAUUGUGUGAAAUGAGUGAAAUUGCUUCCUUGAAAUAAGUGACUUUUUUAGUUGUGUGAAUAAGUAUUUUGGAAUUAAGUGAAAUUAAUGAUUUAGAAAAUAUUGAACUAUGUUAUUUCAAAUAAGUGAAAACAUUUUUUCGAAUUGUGUGAAAUGAGUGAAAUUGCUUCCUUGAAAUGAGUGACUUUUUUAGUUGUGUGGAAUAAGUAUUUUGAAUUAAGUGAAAUUAAUGAUUUAGAAAAUAUUGAAUUAUGUUAUUUGAAAUAAGUGAAAUAUGUUGUUUGAAACAAGUGAAAUCAUUCUUUUUGAAAAUGAUUAAAAAUAUUUAUUGUAAUUGAGUGAAACAAGUCUUCUAAAAUAAGUGAAAGUGUUUCCAAAUGAGUGAAAUCAUCGUUUUGAAAUGAGUGAAAUAUGUUUGUUAGAAAUGAGUGAAAUAUGUUUCAUGAAUUUUAGAACCGCUUAAAACAUAUUCAAAUUUGAUCUUGUUUCAAAGGUCUCGACAUCAAAAAUUCAAAUAUGUAAAAAGAUUUAAAAAUAAAAUUUUAUUUCGUAAGAUACAAAUGAAUUAAUCUCACAAUAAAAAUGAGUACUAGCUUUUCUAUGGGUGGAGAGAGAAUCAUGUUUCCACGCAGUCAAUUUCAUGUUCUCUCUCAGACCUAAAGUUGAUACAUCUCAGAACCCAUUCUAUGAGUAUCUGACUGGAUGGCUGGUGUAUUCUACGGUAGAUGAAGGCACGGGAUUCUACGGCAUGAAGGCAUGGGAGGUCCCAUGCACGGGAUUCUAUGAGACCAGGUCUUACGGGUUAGCAGGUGAGACCCGCCCUGAUGGAUGACACGUGGCAUUCACAAAUCACAAAGCAUCUACCCCACCCCCCAUUUGAAUCAUCAGGGGAAGAGAGAUUAGAUGCUUUGUGAUUUACGAAUGCCACGUGUCAUCCAUCAGGGCGGGUCUCACCUGCUAAAUAUGAGACCUGGUCUCAUAUAAUUUUUUUCCCUGGAGGGAAAGAGUGCCAGGCGUGGCGAAAGGAAUCCCGAAGGGUGCUCCUAUUGAUGACACGCAGCACCCUGACCCUGUGUCUUCUACGCCGCCGGGGUGCCCGGACCUGCUUUGGGACUUGGCGCACUUAAACGAGUUAAACUACUUCGCUUCCAAAGCGGUGGGCGCGCGUGUCAGGCCAGACUAGCAUACCAAAAGGCAGGCGCCCGUUGAGGUACUCCACGCACUUCCGCCGCCACGUACUGUAAAAUGUAAACAGCACACCGGCGCCUACGCACGGUGAUCAUGGCGCGGGCGGCAGACUGGUCAGCCCUCCCCACGGAGCUCGUCAGCCACGUCGCCGACCUCUUCCUCGCCACCAGCGACGUCGACUACUACACGAGCCUCCGGGCGGGCUGGACCCCCGCUUCCGCCCCCAUCGCUGGGUCAUGCUCGACGAGCUCGACCGCAACGCCGGCUCCCGCCUCUUCCUCAACGUGAAGACCGGGCGCUUCCUACGGAGGGACAUCCCCGCGCUCUACUACUGCUUCUACGUCGCCGCCGCCGACGGCCUGCUCAUGCUGCUCGCGAGCAACAGCGAGACCAGGCUCUGCAUCCUCAACCCCAUCACCAGCUCCGUAGUCCGGUUCCACGCGACCGUCGACGUGCAGCCCCGGGACAUUGGCUUGGCCGUGGCCGGCUCCUCGCCGAUGGUGCUCACCAUCUUCUCCAGCCCAAGCCACGGCGCGUGUUUCGAGCCCACCGUCCCCGGUGUCAACCCGUCGUCCCCGCCGGUGUUCACGACCGCGCCAACCCUCGACAGCUUCACCUCCGUGGUGGUGUUCCAAGGCCGCGUGUACGCCGCGGACCGUGCUGGAUCGGUCGCGGUUGUGGAGUACACUGGGCCUGACACGACGCCCGAGAUCACCGUCCUCGUCGCCGGCGACCGGCUGGCGAAUACUUACACGUUCCUCGUCGACAGCGCCGGGGACGAGCUGUUGCUGGUACGCGCAUCGUCGACGACCGCCACCGGCCGCAGCAUUUAGGUCUUCAGAGUGAACCUCGGGACGAACUCUCUGGAGCCGGCCAGGACCAUCGGGAACCGCGCUCUCGUCCUCGGUGUCCAGUCCAUCUCCGUCGAUGUCGGAAAUGUCCCCGACUUGGAAGGGAACUGCGUCUAUUAUGGCAACGGCUUGUUCCGGCAGACGGAGAUGUGCGUGUACCGCAUCAACGACGGCAGUGAGGAGGUACUGGCCGCGCACCCCUCGGACGAGGAGCGGCGUCGUGGGCAGGGCCGUGUGUUCCCCUUGCCCCUGGCCCAAAUUCUCGUGAUCUCCGCGUGGCCUUUCCGUGAUAGUGAUUUAGAAGGUUGGUGAAUGGAUUCUCGAAAAAAAAUUAGAAGGUUGGUGAAUUUGUUUGAACGGGCUUUCGCAUUUCCUUAGGAAUCUUGAUGAAUUAUGCUGAUAUUUGAUUGAUUUUACCUUUGUUUGUACUAUACUCCUGUGGAAUAGUACCAAAAUAAACACAACGAUUCUGCAACAAACUACAAUGGUCGACCGGCCCAACCUUCCUCGCGCGACGGCACCGGGAAGCUGCAGCUGUGCUACGGGGAACGGCCGAAGCUUCCAGUGGUGAACACAACCCGUCAGGGUUGCUGCAACCGCGACGCCCCCACACUAGAAUCGAUACCCGCCGUUGCUGCAACUGGCUAAGACGGAGCAGCAACUGGCGGCAUGUUGUGACUUGUGGGAUGAUUGGCUGGAACCGGCAACAUGUUUGCUGCAUAAAGGGCGGAACCAUGCGGGGCACCAGUGCUAUAACCGUCGAGCUGGUGAACUGCGUCAACGAGCCAAUGAGCGGCACCACAGAGCUGCAAAUGGGAGGCUGUGGGGGUGAGGUGCACUACAAGAAAUAUGUCAACUAGUGACCUUCUGUCAGUGACCCUGGAAGAAUUAGUCAUGGAUCUAUGACCAUUUCAGACCAAUUGGUCAAAAGCUGUUCGGGGGGCUCCAAACCCUAAACUAUAACGACCAUUUUGGUCAGAAAGGUCGUAAUUUCCUUACACGAAAUGGUCAUAAAGCAGAUAGCACUGGUCCGCUGCCUUAUUUUUAGCUGAUCACGACCAAUAUAGAUGGUCAUAACCUUGUAAAUUGUGGUGGGUUGCUAUGACUAGGCGCCACUUCAUCAGUUUUGCCUAUGUGUCAUGUUCAUGUGGCAUUUUUUGCCCCAGGUUGUGAAGCAACCUAUAUUUCUGUCAUUCCUAAAAUUCCCAAAAAUAUCUCAUAAAUUCUUUUGGUCAUAUCUUCGUCAAAUAUGUAAAAAACCUUCCUUGCCUAGUUCAAAAAUAAUUCAAUAAUAUUCAUUUUCCUAUUCUAUUCAGAACAACACUUUGUGAAGGACCACUUUGGCAUGUCCAAAUAGUAUCCAUUUUCUACAGUGCUUUCCUAUGCCCAAAUAACCAUCCUCCACCAAAUGCCAGCUCAAUCCAUUCAUUAUUUUGAGCCCAGCUUCAACAUUCGUAUUUAUGUCCAGUGUGGUACUUUGCAAAGCAAGUACCACCUAGGCUCCUCCUUUUGAGCUGAAAAUUUGUGAAUACGGUCUUCUUAGUAACUGAUCAUCCUCAGCCAAAACUCACGCCCAUUAGCCAUGUACAUUUCCCGUACCGCUAAUCAAACACUUGGCUGCUAAUUCAUGUUUGAGCAUCGAUCGGUCUCCUCAUGAGAAUCUUAUGUUAUAAUUUUCUUCCUAGCACCUACCUGGGGAGUGCCCAACCCACUAGACAUGCCUAGGCCGCCCAGAACACAUGGAAACGCCACGUUCAUGCGGUGACCACGCGGCGGGCAUGCGAGUUUACGCGCUCUAGAGUUGGGGCCCUCGGCCACCGCCCAAACCUCGACGUAUCGCCACCAAACCAUGUAUUUAUGGUUAAAUAGGUACUUAUGUAACUAGAAAUGAUUUUUGGAAAAAAUAAAUAGCAAACUAUGAGGCAGCCGCAGUUCAAAUUUGACCCGCUUCCAACUGAAUCGGCGUAAAUUUGUCUUUUUCACGAGAGGUGGAUCAAAACUUUUUACACCCAACCAUUUUGUCAAUUGUGCAUUAAAUAUGUCCUAGUAUUUUAGAAAAUUGAUUUGGUCCAAUUUUGCAACAAUUAUUUGUGAGGUCCUUCACAAAAAAACCUCAUUUUAGGCACUCGAAAAAUGGAAAAUGGUUUUCUCGUCCAAAGAAAAUGAAAACUUCCUUAGGCAACAUUGUUUGCCAUUCCAAUAUGCACUCUUGUGCACAAUAUGAGAUCAUUUGAACUAACUAUGCCAUGAAUGUGGCCAUAAGAUUGAUCAUUUGGCUUGAAAGCCAUUGAUCCACACGUGAUAGCUCGUUUCUAAGAAUACUUUUUUAAAAUAAUCGCCCUAUUACAAGUUUGUUAUUUUUCCUGGGAACUUGGCCACAUAUAAUGACACAAUGCGAAGGUUUCCCAAUUAUUUGAAUUUUUUUGAAUUUUUUAUGCCCGUUUCAAAAUGCGGUCAAAACGGCGGGAAUGGCCAUUCGUAGCUAGUGGUUGAAUCUUGGAAAACUUUUGAUGUUUCUCUAAUUAAAUAGAUACUUAUGUACCUAUAAAUGAUUUUUGGAAAAAAUAAAUAGCAAACUAUGAGGCAGCCGCAGUUCAAAUUUGACCCGCUUCCACCUGAAUCGGCGGAAAUUUGUCUUUUUCACCAGAGGUGGAUCAAAACUUUUUACACGCAACCAUUUGAUCAAUUGUGCAUUAAAUAUGUCCUAGUGUUUUAGAAAAUUGAUUUGGUCCAAUUUUGCAACAAUUAUUUGGGAGGUCCUUCACAAAAGACCUCCUUUUGGGCACUCAAAAAAUGGAAAAUGGUUUUUUCGUCCAAAGAAAAUGAAAACUUCCUUAGGGAACAUUGUUUGCCAUUCCAAUAUGCGCCCUUGUGCACAAUAUGAGAUCAUUUGAACAAACUAUGCCAUGAAUGUGGCCAUAAGAUUGAUCAUUUGGCUUGAAAGCCAUUGAUCUCCACACGUGAUAGCUCGUUUCUCAGAACAUUUUUUUAAAAUAAUUGCAGUAUUACAAGUUUGUUAUUUUUCCUGGUAACUUGGCCACAUAUAAUGACACAAUGCGAAGGUUUCCCAAUUUUUUUGAUUUUUUUUUAAUUUUUUAUGCCCGUUUCAAAAUGCGGUCAAAAUGGCGGGAAUAACCGUUCCUUGCUAGUGGUUGAAUCUUAGAAUUUUUUGGUGUUUCUCUAAUUAAAUAGAUACUUAUGUACCUAGAAAUGAUUUUUGGAAAAAAUAAAGAGCAAACUACGAGGUAGCUACAGUUCAAAUUUGACCCGCUUCCUACUAAAUCGGCGGGAAUUUGUCUUUUUUACGAGAGGUGGAUCAAAACUUUUUACACCCAACCAUUUGGUCAAUUGUGCAUCAAAUAUGUCCUAGUAUUUUAGAAAAUUGAUUUGGUACAAUUUUGCAACAAAUAUAUGGUAGGUCCUUCACAAAAAAACCUCAUUUCGGGCACUCGACAAAUGGGAAAUGAAUUUUCCGUGCAAAGACAAUGAAAACUCCCUUAGGCAACAUUGUUUGGAAUUCCAAGAUGCACCCUCGUGCACAAUAUGAGAUCAUUUGAACAAACUAUGCCAUGAAUGUGGCCAUAAGAUUGAUCAUUUGGCUUGAAAGCCAUGAAUCUUCACGCAUGAUAGCUCAUUUCUGAUAACACUUUUUUAAAAUAAUUGGCUUAUUAUAAGUUUAUUAUUUUUUCUGGAAACUUGGUCACAUAUGAUGACACAAUGCGAAGGUUUUCCAAUUUUUUGAUCUUUUUGAAUUUUUUAUGCCCGUUUCAAAAUGCGGUCAAAACGGCGGGCUUGACCGUUCCUAGCUAGUUGUUGAAUCUUGGAAACCUUUUGAUGUUUCUCUGAUUAAAUAGAUACUUAUGUACCUAGAAAUGAUUUUUGGAAAAAAUAAAGAGCAAACUAUGAGGCAGCUACAGUUCAAAUUUGACCCGCUUCCUACUGAAUCGGCGGAAAUUUGUCUUUUUCACCACCGGUGGAUCAAAUCUUUUUACACCCAACCAUUUGGUCAAUUGUGAAUUAAAUAUGGCCUAGUAUUUUAGAAAAAUGAUUUGGUCCAAUUUUGCAACAUUUAUUUGGCAGGUUCUUCACAAAAAAACCUCAUUUGGGGCACUCGAAAAAUGGAAAAUGAUUUUUUCGUCCAAAGAAAAUGAAAAUUUUCUUAGGCAACAUUGUUUGCCAAUCUAAGAUGUAAACUUGUGAAAAUUAUGAUAUCAUUUGAACAAAUAUUUGGUAGGUAUUUUACAAAAAAACUCAUUUUAAGCACUGAAAAGUGAAAAGUGGUUUUUUCUGAAAAACGUAUCUUUGAUUUCGACCAAUUUAGAUGGUCAUAAGGUCUUCGGAUUGUUUGCUGCGUUCUGAUUGGUCCAUGGGCAUAUCACGCGGAUCAUGGAUUAUACACCGCGGAUGCCCGAGGAUCCAACGGCAGUCAUCAACCCUUCCACACCAACCCUAGCUCUGUUCUCGUGGUCAUUUUGNNNNNNNNNNNNNNNNNNNNNNNNNNNNNNNNNNNNNNNNNNNNNNNNNNNNNNNNNNNNNNNNNNNNNNNNNNNNNNNNNNNNNNNNNNNNNNNNNNNNNNNNNNNNNNNNNNNNNNNNNNNNNNNNNNNNNNNNNNNNNNNNNNNNNNNNNNNNNNNNNNNNNNNNNNNNNNNNNNNNNNNNNNNNNNNNNNNNNNNNNNNNNNNNNNNNNNNNNNNNNNNNNNNNNNNNNNNNNNNNNNNNNNNNNNNNNNNNNNNNNNNNNNNNNNNNNNNNNNNNNACAGCACAUGCGGCGGCCAGAUCCAAGAUCCAGCAUGCCGGCCUGUGCCUCACCGGAGGCGCACACGCAGAGUGAGGUGGGCUGCCCGCAUGCACACGCCAUGGACCUCCGUCACGGGACGCCAACACGUCUCGUCUGCCCGGCCGCGUCACCAGACGGUUGCCUGCCUGCUCCCUGCCGACGCCAUCCCGUGCUCGGGAUGCCGCGCCUACCAGCCCCGAUGUCCCUCCUCCCUCUCCCCUAUGUCGGCCCCGUCGUCCGUCCCCGAGGUACCCCGCCCGACCACCCCCAGUCAGUUCUCUUCUCCGUGGCUGGUUCAGCGUGACGCGUUCCUGACAUUUUUUCUCUCCGUCUCUGUGGUUGGGCAGAUGGAGAGGGUGCUCAAGGAUGAUGCCAUCCAGGAGAAGGGCGAACGCGCUAGGGUGGUAACCAGCCCCCUCCCAUCUGAUCUUCUUGUUUUCCUUCUUGGUCUGACUGGGUCGGUUCAUUCGUCCGUUGGUUGGAUGGCGCUGCUGCAACUGUGUGCAAUUAGUAUAUAGUGAUCUCACUUAGACUGCAAAAUCCAUAGCUUUGCCUGAUCUUUGUAUAGGUGGUAUGACUAUAACUGAACCAUAUGUUCUGUUUUAUCAUAUAUAACUGAAUCAUGAGUUUGUUUCAUAUUUUAAACCUACAAGAAAGGAAGUGUGCUUGUUGACGAUGGUUAUUGUUGCUGAAUCCAUAUCCUGGUUCAGACUUAUAUUUUGCUAUUCUUAGGUGGCGGGCUUAUACGGCAUCGCGAGCAGGAGGGCCAUGAGGGGUUUGCUGCUCUUCUCCUAGGGCGACCAAGAGGUCCUGCCCCGAGCUCAAGCACGUCCACGCCGACCCACCACGACAGGUAGCAUCUCCAUCUCCCUCUCAUCUUCCUCUGCUCGCUAUUGCUGCUUCGAAUUAUACAUGUUGGCAAAGAGAUGUCCCUAUUUUCCUCAGUACUAUGCACUGCUAUAUUUAUGUGGUUGUCUUUGUGUGCAUCUUAUUUUGAAACCAAGUGAGACACCUCCAUCCCCUACAUCUUGACGAUCCCUCAUGCGUUGCUCUCACUACCUCCUGCCCCUAGAUUUCCAAUUGCCUUUGUUGCCUGCUCACUUAAUUAAUUAAGUGACCAGCAUCAUUUCUAUGUAGAUAUGCAACUCUUGAGUAUAUUGUCCUUAUAUGCCCCUUUCAUACCAUUCCCACUCAAAUCAAAGCUUGUGUAUGCACUUGAUAUUUGCAAUGAGACUUGAGAGAACUUCUGUAUGCACUGAAGUUUUCUCUAAUAUAGAUUUUUCAAAUAAUAUUGAGUGGACAUAUAGAAGAAAGCUUGUGUAUGCACUGAAGUCUCAAAACAUGUCACCACUUGUAGAUGUCUACGUGCUGCCACCUCCACUUCUAUCCCAGCUUUUUGCGCUCACAGCUGUGGCAUGUUAUAUCGGCCAAUGCUAUCAUGAUAGGAACCUAUAUGAACACAAGUUUUUGUAUAUACCCUUUUUGCAUCCGAGUUUUGUAGUGACAUCACAGAACCUUGUGGACAAGAUCUGAGACAGUUUAGGUACAUGAUUCUUGUUAUAUCACUGCUUUCACAUAUGCAAAUUCUGCUUGUGCACAUUUUCUGAGAUGGCUGAAAUGCACGCCAGGUCCUGCCUGUGCCUGGGGGCUUUGAAUUUCGCGUUUGGUACUGAAUACUGAUACUGGGACGUGGGCGGUUGUGUUUUAGGAUUUGUAGAUCUGUUUCUUCCCUAGCGUUGCUGUAUGCUGGAAAACAUUGUCAGGGCUUGCAGGUUUUUUAUUGCUGUACGCUGUUGGUCAGCUCUGUACUUGUUAUAAGACUUCUUAGAGAUUUCAAUAUGUGUUGCACAUGUAUCUAUAGAUGUAUUUAAGAGUGUAGAUUUACUCAUUUUGCUUCGUAUGUAGUCCUCAUUGGAAUCUCUAAAAAGACUUAUAUUUAGGAGUAAUAUAUAAUACAUACGUGUUUAUCUAAAAGCAGGAAUGGCUCAGAAUCUGAUCGGCUAUUUGUCAAGGAGUAUUGCUGCAUAUCAACAAGAAGUACGUAGGGCUAUUUGACCGACUCACUUCCUAGCCAUAGUAGCCAGUGCUUAGCUCUGUAUGGUGGUCGUUGCUUUGUUGAAUUGCUUGGUGUUGCUGUAACCAUAGUAGCCAGUGCUACUGUUUCCACAAUCGAUGCUUACUGAAAGAUCAUGACUAGUACUGUGACAUAUGCUCGGUGACUAAAAAUAUGUUGAUUUAUAAGAUUUUUUCAGUAAAGCAGAACUUCUUAAAUAUUGCAUGCUGAAGUAAACUGAAAUGUGCAGCGCAGUACAUUACCAGAAGCAGACUGGCCAUGGACUCAAUCAUUCUUUGUGAUUACAGUUUGACUGUAUCUCCAAUGCACUCAAUCAUUCUUUGUGAUUACAGUUUGACUGUAUCUCCAGCAUUGACAAAUACCAUUGCUUGUUCAAAUUUAUACUGGAGUUGCUUGUUCAAAUUUAUACUGGAGUUGCUUGUUCAACAUUGAUAAAAUGUCAUUGCUUGUUUAAGGACUCCACUAAACUGGAUUGUAAAAUAUUCAUUUUGCUCCUAGUGUCCAUUUAGCAGUUUUUUUACUAUGUUCCUACCAAGAUGAUUCAACCAUUUGUUUGUUUUCCUGCAGCGAAGUGCGGCUGGACGACCGAGGCUGCUAUUCUGCCUUGAUCUGCACACAAAGAGUUCCUAGACCUGACUUGAAGCAAGGAUACCUGCGGCUGCAAGCCAACAAUAUCUGAAGACGGGUGCUGCUUGUCUAUGUUCUCAGCAUAACUAUAGGCUGCCAUGUCUUUUCCACUUUCCUUUUCGCUUUCUGUAAUGCUAACUUGACGGUCAGCCUAUAGUUAUGCGAAGAACAUCGGCAAGCAGCACCUGUCUUCAGACAUACACUGCCAUGUCUUGUUCCAUUAAUCACCUAGUCCUCCUGUUAGUGACAUUCAUCUAGUAUUUUAUUUUGCAAAUCAUGCAAUGGUUUGGAGUACUUGAUCAUGGCCUGAUGGAACCUACAUGUCGUGGUUUACACAUUUACACAUUCAUGGUUUCCUCUGUUGUUUGUAAUUGUUCUGGUUAACUAUGCUAGUAGAUAUCGCGUGGGAUCUGUAGCUGGUGUCUGUUGUGCAUGUCCUCUUUGACGAGUUCAUUCAUUGAAAAAUAUUUCUUGAUAAGUUGCUUUCUGUCCAAAUGCAUACUACUAUUUCUGAUGCUUUCUAUACUUUAGCUGGUGUCUGUUGUGACAUCUUUCUAUACUUUAGAACUACCACUUAUCAUGUUGCUUAUUUCUGAUGCUUUCUAAGUUGGUAUUAUAUUUCAGCAGUACUUGAUUCCCUUUUCAAAUUGUUGUUGCCAUGUGGUUGUCCUUCCCGUUAGUUCAUGUGAAAUUUGGAUUUUAAGAUUAUGGCUUAAUAUGUUGUCUCAUGCUGUUGAUUUCACUUGUGCAGAAUCUAUUGACUAAUCUUGACAAGUUUUGCUCUGCUGACCGCCCAUGCUGCUGCUCUUUGUGGUAAGAGUCCUUGAUUGCUGAAGUGCAUGUCUCGACUUGACUGUGCUUACGAUUAUGGGUUUACUCAAGUUAUACCAAGGGCAGUAAACCAUACAAUGUUCCUUUGUUUGUACUUGCUAGUAUUAAAUUUAUGCUCCUUGGAAAGUGCUGGUAUUAGAUAUACCAAGUACCAACCAGACAAGGCUAAAGUAUAGCCGAUCAGGCUUGCACUGCCCUGAGUGAUGCAAACCUAUAGUGGUUCUUCUAUACUCCCUCCGUUCGGAAUUACUUGUCUCGGAAAUGGAUGUAUCUAGAACUAAAAUACGUCUAGAUACAUUCAUUUCUGCGACAAAUAAUUCCGAACGGAGGGAGUAGUUCCUUAAUCUACUGACUGAUUUCUAGUAAAGCUAAUAUACACAUUUGCUGGCUCUGUUAAUGGCUAUUUUAUCAGAAUGGUGGGUGUGUACUUUUGUAAUUUGGUGGUUGUUCUAACAUUUGUUAUCAACUCAUGUCAUAUACUAAUGUCAUCACUUUAAUUCCUGGGUUUCACAUUAGAAGAUAAUCAUGGUUUUGCUGUAUCACCAUAUUUACCAGGUCCACGACGGCGUCUGGUCCGUCGAGUCCUUCUGCAGCCGCUGCCGCUGCUCCUUCCACAGCUUGGGUGGGACUCGUCGGAUCGGCCUCCUCAUUUCCCAUUUCAGGUAGUACAUCCUUCUUGCUCGAAUCUACUAUUUGAUCUGCCUGCACAUCUCUCGCUCCGGCGCAGAAUUGAUGGGUUCUUCCUGGAUUCUUGUGUAAUGAGCUCUUCUUUUUGUAGUACUUCUGUAAUGGUAUUCAGAAAUAAAAUUCAUAUGUUUCUAUAUAUGUUCUUUUAGAUAAGUAUGUCAAUACAUAACUAGUAUUGUAAAUGGUGUGACGCAGUUCUAAAUAUAAAUGCAAAUAGCUUGUGAAUGUCAAUCUCAUGUAUCAGGGUCCUGUUCCUGUAAACCUUAUGUAAAGCUAAAAUUCUUGCUGUGUGCAGGGCGGCUAGUGAUGCAGCAAACCAAGCAGUAGCAGGCGCACCAAGCAGCAGCAGGGGGAGGGUGUCUCUCGAACGUCGCCGCUGCCACUCAUUGCUACUGUCACUGAUUAAUGAUGGAUGAUCGCUGUUAGUUUAGCUCGGCCGCUGUUAGUUUAGCUCCUUUGUAGUCCCUCCCUCUCUUGCAAGCGUGUAGAAAUAGAAAUGGUAGCUGUAGUCCCAUGUAGCUGUAGUUCCUGUACUCGGUCUGCCAUUUGUUGCUUCAUUUCUAUGUUAAUUCAGUCUCUGUUGAAUGUAUCUACUGUCUACUGUUGUGGCUGUUGAAAGAAUCCUUUGUGUUGAAAGAAAUGAAAUGGUUUGGAUACAUACGUAAAUGCUAAGAUGUAAGCUGGAAUAGCCAUCUGCCCUUUUGAUGUCAAGCUUCUAAAUGCAUGUUGUGGAGGCCCAAAAUAGACUGGAUUGUAAAAGGGCCGAGGCCCAAAAAAGAAAUGAAUCAUAGAAGGCUACGUCCUAGAAAAUAAAAUGGGCCAGGCCCAUGAAACCAACAAAAAAUUGAUGAAAAAAAACACAAAUAGGCUGCAUUAAUGGGCUCGGCCCAUGUAAAACACCGAAUCGGACCGGGCUGAAUCUUGUUAGUGACCUUUUCAAUUGGUCGCAAUUUUGCCACGCCAGAUUGACACGUCGGAUCCGACGUGGCCUGGGCAGACAGCCAGUGACCAAAACAAAAGGUCAUGGGUUCAACGACCUUUUGUUUUGGUCGUAAACGUCUACGACCUUCUCACAGAGAAAGUUGCUAAUUUCAGUUUACGACUGCCAGCUUUUGACCUUCUGUUUUUGGUCACAAAAAGGUCGCAAAUGAAAAACUAUGACCUUUUAGUGGCCAAUAGUGAGGGUCACAAGUUGACAUAUUUCUUGUAGUGGUGGGGGGUGACGAGGCGCUACAGGAAUAUGCUACUGGAGCAAGAAGAAGAGGCCACGUGCGGAGCAUAGCAGCUGAAUCGUGUGUAUCAUGGGGUGCACGGCGACCGUCCGAAAUUUAGGUUGUCGUCUGGCACGUAGUGUUCACCUAUUACUCCUAAAGUUCAAACUAAGAUAUGUGAACACACUCUAUGAAGGAUGACCGGGGGGGUGAUUGAUGGGGGUAGCCUAGGGUUGGGAUGACUGAUGGGGGUAACCGAAGCCGAGGGUUGAUUCUAACUAGCAUGUGCCCGACAUGUGCCAUCUUUUUUGCACACCAUUAACGACCAUUUUCCUUAUUACCUCAUUUAUCUCUUCGGGCACUGUAUCCUCUCCCUCUUCCAAUUUCCGCAAAUAAUGAUCCGAAUAUCUAAUAACCUAAAAGUUUUCUAAGAUCCGUUGGAAGUCAACCUUAAGUUUCCUUGAACGUUGACAAAGAUUUGUUGGAACUACUUAUAUGUUAGUUGAAAGUUCGAAAACAUUGGUUGAAAGCUUUAUUAUUACUAGCAUGUUGAUCAAAUUAACCGAAAUCAUAUAAUUACGUGAAAAAUUCUUUCUUGAAGAGGGAAAGCGGGGGGUGGUUGCUCGCUCCGACACCGCCUUUUUGGGUUGUUGGAACGUAAUCACUUGUCUUCUCCAACCAUCUCUUAAUUUUUUUUGCGAAUGCCAACCAUCUCUUAUCUCAUCGAGAGGAGGUUCGAAACUCUCAUGCUUUCAACGUAAAUUAAGACAAACUCGUGUAUGAAACACAAGAAAGAAAGAGUAAAACAUUUGUACGGAGCUAUGCUCCUUGAUGUCGGCGGCUUGGGAUCUUUAAAUAGAGAGAAUUCCUUAUUUAACAUUGGCUUAAUUCUUUUGCCAUAUUUGACACCGGAAAACUUUUUCUUCCUUAUCUAACAACAAUGCUAAAAUUUGUUCCCGUUGUGACACUUCCAUCUAUUUUGAGUACUAACAGUUUUAAAUGACACAUGAAAAGAUGAUUUUACCCCUGAUACAACUUGUGACCAAAAUCAUUCACAUGAGAAGCAAUAACCUUUUCCAGUUAUUAAUUGCAAAAUUGGGCAGAACCUCCCCUGUAAACAUGCAGAAAAUUCAUAUCUCCACACACAAUUAUUUCAAUUAUUUCAAAAUUUAAUUCAAAAAUUGGGCAGAACCUCCCCUAUAAUUUGAUGCCCUAUCCUCUGGACACAAUUCAGAUAUACAUAAUUCAACACACAAUUUUCAAAUUUGCCAAUGGCAUGAAACACAAACAUCCAGACUCACAUCCAAGUACACAUAUAUGACUUACAACAAAUCCAUGUUCACAUAUAUGAGUUCAAGUCCGCACAUACAUCAUAUUAGCAGCCCAAAAGUGUCUCAAAUCAUAUCUAGGUUCACAUACAUAGUCCAAGUCCAUAAUAUAUGCAUGACAUGAGUAGCACAAAAGUGACUUUAGGUUCACAUACACAAGUCCAAGUCCACACAACAUGACACGAGCAGUAACAAAAGUGACUUUAGGUUCACAUACACGAGUCCAAGUCCACACAACAUGACAUGAGCAGCAACAAAAGUGACUUUAAGUGACAUAAAUUAGAUAAAGUUCACGAACCGAGCCUUCUUUUGCUUCUCGUGCUCAUUGCAGGGCUGGCUAGGUAAGACUUUUUGCUUCUAGUGCCCAUUGCAGGGCUGUCAAAAGGCACCUUAGGACCAUUUUGAUCCUUUUUAGUAAGCUCCAUCUUCCUUGUAGCCCUUAAAAUAACAACAUGGUUGUCAAAUUGCAGUGCAUGUAUGCCAGCAGUACAUAUGGAUAAUAUUUGAUGCAUGUAUGGCAGCAAACAACAACAUUAACUAUGCAUAAUAUGUGAUAUUAAAAUUCAGAAUCAGGAAAGUUCACCUUUUUCCCCCUUUCGCAUUUCUCUUGUUUGUAGUAUCAUCCUCAUGUUCUAUAUUGUUGUCAGGUUCACUAUCACUAUGCCACUCGGUGAUAGGCUCAUAUGGUUCAGAGGGAUCAGAAUAUGCAAUGAUCAUAUGCAGCACCUUUGUCUCCGAGUGUUUUUCAAACAUAAGCAUCAAAUCUUGGUCAGAUUUUACUUCUGGACAGGUUUUAAGAUCACCAUCAUAAUACUGCACAUGUGCAACUUCCAUAUAACGCGGCGGGUACUGCUUUACAAUUGAUUCAACCAAAUCCUUAUAAUUUGUGAAGUCACAAUUGACGACCUUCUCAAAAUAAAAACAUCGUAUGUCCUUCCGAGCUUUUUUUGGAUUGCCAAACAAUUUAAUUCUAAGCAAAUAACUUGAAUUUGGAUCCAUCCUGUGAAUUAAGAAGACAAUUUUGCAUCAAACCUAUGCAUGAGUAUUGCAAGCUUUAGCCUCAAUUACACAGCUACACAAACUAGCACAAACCUAUGCAUGAUAAUUGCUACUGGAUGAAAUGUAUUGCUACUAACAUUGCAUUCAAAUGAGGAAAAUACAAACAGAGCAAUUACAUUCACUUGAACUCCUAUGAAUGACACUUACCUAUCUGGACACGGCCAUGUAGCCGAGGACAAACGAGUCGUGCCCUGAUCUGAAGCACUUGCCGAGACCGGCCUAACAGUGCCCUGGCCGGAGUCUUUAGCCACGCCGGCGGUAGAGUCCCCAGCCACUGCUGCGCCUUGACCCAUGCCCGCUACAGUCGAGCCACCGCCAACUGCGGAAGCUAUCCCGUCGGCACCCUUAGCUGCACCCUCAACCGACACCUCCUCAGACGCAGCCCCGCCAUCGCCAUUGGCCACCAGUGCUGGAUCCACAGCGGCGCCAAGGCCUGACCCGUCCGCUGCGCCCUGGUUGUCUUCCCUGGCGUUGUCUCCAUCCGCAGAAACGCCCCCAUCCAUAGCCCUAAGCCGCCGCUGCCGCUAGGGUUCGCCGCCGCCGCGCUAGGUUGGACAGAAAGGGGAAAGGAGCACAAGUCACGGGGUCAGGACUCGGGAGAGAUAUUGAGGCCGGUUUGGGCUUUGUUUUUCUUUGUUCUCCUGCUUAUUAUGGACAGGGGCAAUUUUGUCCAACUAGAAAAAACUGACAUCGGUCAAUGCAGACUUUAAUGGUUUCUCCUAAUAGAACCGACGGAUGUGUUAGCAAGGGAAAAGAUAAGGAAGAAAUUUUUAUGCAUUGUUAAAAUAGGGAACCAACAUUUAAAACGGUGUUAUAUAAGGAAUUUUCUCGUCUUUCAACCACAGCGUUCCGAAUAGCGGCAACAAAAUGACGAUCGGGAUGCGGUGUCGAGGAGAACGAAGUAAAAAAUACUAUGGCCCCAUCGGAAACAGUAUGAUUCGUGGGAGGAAGAACCGAUGUAGAACCUUCCCACACGGUUCGGAGAGCAUUGAAGACGAAUGAGAGGUUCACCUCCACAUCAUUGGAAGGAAGUCAAAUCCUUGCUAAUACUAAGCUGUAGUAGCAAAAAAGAUUAACUAGAACUCACAUGUUCGUGUCAUGUUAAACAGAGAAAGAAUCAUAAUUACAAUACAUCUAUAAGUGAAGAACUAUGUGCUCCAAAGCAUUUGAAAGGGAAAAAGUAAUCUUAGCUUGUCUCACUUGACAUGCAUACACAUUGGGGGCAAUACUUAGUCACCACGGAUGCAAUUAGCUUAUAUAGCUCAACAAACCAAUUGAAUACAUAAGUCAUAGGUGCGAAGAGCUUUGGCGUAUCAUGCCAUCAGGUCACAUGCGACCAGCUCAUAGUGUGAUAGGUUCUGGAAUGUGUGAACAAUGUACAUUCGAAGACUCAAUCCAUUAGUGCAUACAUGUGUGAUAACUCCUGGUCAGGUAGCUUCUUAUAUAUACAAAAUCUAGGCAAUGGUGAAGAAUAACUUAUUCUACACUCCUGCCAUAUACAAAAUCUAGUAAACGGUGUACAAAAUGUAGUAAUUUUUAAAAUAAUUGUUUACUAUCCAAGUUUGUAAUUUACUACACAUUUUCAAAGUACUAUGUUUUGUAUACUGUGUUGCUAUAUUUUGUAUCUUGCAUUAUUAUGAGAGAUUUGGUAGGAUCGGACAUGAUAAUUGUGUUAGGUAUGAAUAAUUUUGAAUCGAUGUAUCUAAUGUUAUACAGGGCCGUACCCAUGAAAUUUGGACCCUGGUGCGAAAUCUCAAGUUAGGCCCUAGCUAUAUAUAAGAAUAAAAGCAAUGGAAAUUAAGGAGCUACAUUGAUUCUUAUUGGUUUUAAUUUUCGCUCAGAUUUAUGCCUUGCAAUAAUGGAAACAAGUCAUGAUACUCUUAACUGCCAACCUACCUUUGUGUUAAAGGUGCUACAUUUCUAGUCUUAGUUGCUAAUUCUUCAAAUAUAUAUGUUCAUUGGUGUCUUUUCUGAAAUGUCAUAUAUCAUUUCCAGUUACUAUCUGUGGCCAAUUCACAACUCUAUAUGAGAAUAUCCAUAUUUCCAGCAUUUUAAUUUCUUGCAUACUUCUAAUGAUUAUACAAAUCAGUUUCUACGCACCCACUCAUUGGAUUUCGUUAGAUUUUUUAAAGGUUUACACCUUUACAACAUGGAUGAUGAAGUUUAUUUUACAUGGAAAAUGGAGCAACUUUGUGCUUAUUUGUUUGCUUAUAUGCUCUGCAUUGUCCUCUAUGUUAAGAAUAAAUAGAAGACAAAGUAGUAUGUGCUUUUCUAAACAUCUAUACUGCCGAAGCACCUUUUCUGUGAGAUUUAAUAUAGCUAUUCAUUAUGUAGGUGUAUUUGUACUACUUUUUGAUGAGGGGUAUAACAAGAGAGCUCCAGUGUUGAAACUUUCUAAAGAGACAAAAGUGAACGUUUACACGAAAACUCUGCUUUUCUACCAUAUUUUGUACGCAUAACUUAAAGCCUUAAUAUGUACUUUUCUUCUUAAAACAUGACUCUCUGCGAAAUCAGUUUUGUUGUCUUCUUUAUUUGUUUCAUGUGAUGCGAGAUAAUAUUUUGUUGCAGUGUUGAUCAUAUUUUACCUUUUCCUUUUUGUUUGGAGAAAGAUGUUUCCCUUUCUUACAAAUAUACUAUUUCUUAAAUAGAACAAUAGUCACCAUACAAGGUUCUUCCACCAAAAAAUGUUUUUUCUGUGUGCAACUAAGAUUGAUUUCCUGCUGAUUGGUUGUACAAUCUUAUUCAGCAGAACCCGCAUGAGAGACAAGAAACACAAGGUCCAUUAUGAGGUGAGGGUUCUGUUGCCCCAUUUUUCAGUUUCAUGACCCGGUUUCUUCAUGUUUUGAAGAUGAUUGGCUGUAGCUCGGUUUUUUCUUCUUCCCAUAGUUCACUGACGGGGUUGUAGUCUAUAGUAGGACUGAAGUAGUACCACAUGAGUUUUUAGGUUCAUAGCAGUUUGACUGAUCUUAAUGUGAGGUGCUAUUUUAGUUAUGAAUAUUCGAUAUGCAUGAAUGGCACUUUCUGGUUUGGCAGUGAAUAAUUUAUUCUGUCUCGUAAUAAGAGGUGUAUGAAUGUGAUUUAAAAGAGCCAUGGCAAAGGUUUUUUUGGACCUGCUAUUUUUUGUUGCUAUCAAUAGAGUUGCGGCGUAAACAACUAUGGCAACAUGAUUAGUGCGCACAAUAGCGCCUCAGAGGAGCACCCCCUCAUCAUGUCCAAUAGCUAUAUUCACAUGUAGUCAAAUCACUUUUGCUGUGUAUAAGUGCCAUCAAGGAUCAAUCUAGACCCACAGAUGUGCGUAAGCUAUGAUGGUGAAAGUGAAACUUCAGACUUGUCCACAAUACCAACAUGUCAUAUUUAAUCAUCUUGCGGUUAUUCCAGUGUAUCCUACUACUCUGGAGCACUAGAUACCACCAGUAGCAAUUGGCCACAUUACCCAGCCCAGAUAUGUUAAUUUUACCAUGUAUUUGUGUGAACAAGAGAUAUGUAAGAUGCAAGAAAUCAGUUUAUUGCGGUUACGAUUGUGCACCUCGUGACACGAGGUGAUGUCGGCCACGUCGCCGGCAGAAGCAGCCAACGGCAAAUAUCGAUCUCCCGGCGGGGUCCUCCGGCCAGCAGCACGGCAUCAGCAGCCUCAGAACGCACCGCGCGCAACGGCCAAAAUCACCACUCUCCGUCCCCGCUCGCCCGGCGCGGCGAGAAGGAGAUCGCCUGGCCAGCGCGCGGCCACAUCGGCGAGCCGCCCCACACGCGGCCAUGUGGGCUGCGGCCACGACCCACCCCGUCGCCCUCGCGGCUCAUCUCCACCGCGCGAAAUCCACCGGAAUCCUGCAAAAAUCCCGAGCUUCGCCACUCCCGUGGCCAGCGCGCGGCCACCUCAGCCACCCCAUCCGCCCGCCUCGCGCCCCGCGCGCCAAUGGCGACUCGGCAUAAGAUUCCCCGGGAUAAGGACCCGAUCGCGCCCUCCUCCUACUUAAACGCCGCGCGCUCCGGCUUCACUCCACAGCUCCAACGACCACCAGCGCCUCCUACAGUCCUACUGUCAGCCUCAGCUCGCCCGAAGCAAAGCUAGCGAGUACGCAGCGCGCGAUGGCGGCCGCGACCAUGGCGCUCUCCUCCCCGGCGAUGGCGGGCACACCUGUGAAGGCCUCCAGGGCGGCGCCCUUCGGGGAGGGCCGCAUCACCAUGCGCAAGACGGCGGGCAAGCCCAAGGUGGCGGCGUCCAGCAGCCCGUGGUACGGCUCCGACCGCGUGCUCUACCUCGGCCCGCUCUCCGGCGACCCGCCGAGCUACCUCACCGGCGAGUUCCCCGGCGACUACGGCUGGGACACCGCGGGCCUGUCGGCCGACCCCGAGACCUUCGCCAAGAACCGGGAGCUGGAGGUGAUCCACUGCCGUUGGGCCAUGCUCGGCGCGCUCGGCUGCGUCUUCCCGGAGCUGCUCGCCCGCAACGGCGUCAAGUUCGGCGAGGCCGUGUGGUUCAAGGCCGGCUCCCAGAUCUUCAGCGAGGGCGGCCUCGACUACCUCGGCAACCCCAGCCUGGUGCAUGCGCAGAGCAUCCUUGCCAUCUGGGCCUGCCAGGUGGUGCUGAUGGGCGCCGUGGAGGGCUACCGCGUGGCCGGCGGCCCGCUGGGCGAGAUCGUGGACCCGCUCUACCCCGGCGGCAGCUUCGACCCCCUGGGCCUCGCCGAGGACCCCGAGGCCUUCGCGGAGCUCAAGGUGAAGGAGAUCAAGAACGGCCGCCUCGCCAUGUUCUCCAUGUUCGGCUUCUUCGUCCAGGCCAUCGUCACCGGCAAGGGCCCCCUCGAGAACCUCGCCGACCACCUUGCCGACCCCGUCAACAACAACGCCUGGGCCUUCGCCACCAACUUCGUCCCCGGCAAGUGAGCGCAGUCAGCUCAACCUCUAGGCCGACAACUUCAUGGCUGAUGGAUGCUGCUGCAUGUGUGUCGUCGUCGAUCUCUGCUUCUUCCCGUUCUGAGAUUGAGUAGUCCGGACUGAUAGAUGUUGCAUGUGAGGGCGAUUCGAGAUGAGGAGUUGGUGUGUGUACACUACAAGAUGGUGUUUGUGUAAUAUCUGGCUAUUUUCUCAGAUUAAUCAAGGCAUCUCUGUUCUUCUGCUUAACUCCUUGGUUUCUCUGAACCUCUGAAUGUCAAAUGCAGAAGUUCUAUGAAUGUUUCUCUGAAAGUCCAAGCAACUAAAGCAUUCAAAUUCAUCAAGACAUUCAUUCCAUCCAUUUCAAGUUUUCAACACUGAUCAACUCAACAAUCCUGUAAAUACAAUUCCAUUUGUAUAUGUAACAAAUACUCUACAAAUCUGGGGUUUCCUACAGUAAAAAAAGUAAAAUGAAACGCUAGGACUAGUGCAACUUCCUUCUGAUGAAGAAGAAAGUUGCAGUUACUACUGUGCUACCGGCCUUGCAGAACGGUCAUGGCAAUGGUGUUCCUGCUGUUCUCGAGAUCGGUUCUCUGGAUCUUCUCUUCCAUCAUUCCGACGUACCCUGGCUGGUUCGGCGCCGGGAGAGACGCCGAUGCCACCACCGACGCGCUUCCGUUCUCCAAGAUGGACACAACGGACGACAUGAGGGGCCUCCUGCUCGGGUCGUCCUCCACGCACAGGAGGCCGACGUGGAUGCAGAGCAAUGCCUCAUCCUGCGAACAGCUCUCUGCCAUGGAUGGAUCCACCAGCUUGACUGCCUUCCCUUCCCUCCACAGGUGCCAUGCCUACAUGAAACAACCAAACCAACCAUCAGGAAUUGUUUUUUUCUUGCUAUUAUGAAUACAGAUACGAUCACAACAUGGAGUACUCCCUCUGUAAAAAAAUAGAAGAGUGUCUAGAUACUUAGAAACUUCAACGGUUUGGUUUGGCAGUACCAGUGAAAAUGCAGGUGCUUACAUAGACUAUCAAGCUAGGGAACUCCAUGAUGCCCUUGGUUGCGCUUAUCCUAACGCCGCUCACGAUCUCCAGCAGCAGCACGCCGAAGCUGUACACGUCGGACUUAACUGAGAAGACACCCUCCGUCGAGUACUCGGGGGCAAUGUAGCCGCUUGUCAACACAUAAUUUUUUUAGUUAGAAGAGGUGUCACAUGUUUUUUUGUCAAAUGCUACUACCAACCUAAGUAAAAAAAAACUCUUUCCCGCCCUGUAAAUGUAUUCAAGUGUUCAAGAUACUCACUAUGUUCCAACGACGCGCUUGCUGUUGGCUUUGACCUGGUUGUCGCCGAAGAUCUUGGCCAUGCCGAAGUCGGCGAUCUUGGGCCGCAUCUCGGCGUCUAAAAGGACGUUGCUGGCCUUGAGGUCCCUGUGUAUCACCGUCAGCCUCGAGUCCUGGUGGAGGUAGAGCAGCCCCCUCGCUACCAACCUUGAUGAUCCCCAGCCUCGUCGGCCAGUCCAGCACAGAUUUCCUCCCUGCCCUGAAUCCUUGCUCAGUCUCUUCACAGCAACCACAUGACCGCCUUCCAACGUCCCCUUCCCAAUGGUAAAAAGAAAAAAACUGGAGUGACCGAGAUCAUGAAUUGCUUUAGUUUGGCGACUGAAUAUUGUGCAGGAGAUUUCAGGCAUAUCCAAAGUUUUAAAUAACCGGAUAUAGUCAUUGAUGUACUUUGCCGAUCGUGGAUCCGAUCGAUUUUUUUCUCUCGCAUACAUAUAGCUCUGGUCUUAUAUGACUUUGCUAUUUGCUGGUGUGUCCUUGUGUGUGUGUCUGUUGGUGUUGGUUACGUGCAUCUUAGUUAUGCAAAGGUUAUGUAUGCUCUUUGGGUUUGUAUCCUCUUGAUGCAGCCAAUAAAAUCCACCCUUUGUCAAACGCUCCAUGAAGGUUGGUUUCAAAAAGAAAAUCGAAAAUGAUAUUAUUUUUAAUUUUGAAGAAAAACUGACAAAAAAUAGACAUGUACAUAGAUAUUUAUAUACUACGUUCAUGUAAAUUUUCAUAGUGAAACAGAUUUUGGUCUAGGCUAUACAAAACAAUCAUGAAUUUUUACGAUGAUUAGUAAAUGUGUUAGAUAUACAUGAUUUUGUCUUUUUUGUGUAGCUGACAUUAAAACAUAUUUGAUCGUGAAAAUUUAUAGAAAUGUCUGAUACAGUUCUAUGUACAUAUGUUUUUUUUAAGAUUUUUCUGAAACCUGAAUAAUGUAUUUAUAUUAUGUUUAUAAAUUCAGGCUCCAUGGAGCCGGAGAUCUGAAAGGCAUUUCCGACUAUAGCCCCGCUAUUCCGUUGCUAUAGUUAAUUUGGAAGACUGACGAUAUUUAAAAUAUCCCGCUAUUUAAAACUACGUGUAUACCUUAUAGACAUUGCCAAAGCCUCCACGGCCAAUCAUGAAUGUCUUGGAGAAGUUGCCUGUGGCGGUGAUGAUGUUGGCAAACUGUAUGCACGGGAACUCAUGGUCUCCGGUGUGAUCUACUUCUCUGAUUUUCGCUCGAUGUGUUCGUGGUCCCGGUCCCAGGCACCAACUUAUUUUGGCUCUCGGUGAAAUUUCUUCUCUUGUCUGUGAAAUUGAUAAUAAUGAUCGAGUAUGACCAAAAGUGAUGUUAUGAUCCUGAGCCCACAUGCCCCCUAGUGAACAAUAAGAACCGGAAAAAUAGUAGAAGAAAUUAGAAAAAAAAAAACAAAAUCCAUACUCCAAAAUGCUUUGAAAAUAGUCUUUUUCAAUCAUCUAUUUUGUUUUUGUUUUUUGCCUGGACCUCCACGAAUAUCAUUCCAUCACAAAUAUUGGCAUCCAGAUGAAACACUCAACAAUGUUUAUCGCACAAAACAAAUUCUGAAUAUUUUGAAUCUUUUUCAAAAAAAAUUGGAUUUUGCUGUUCACCCACCCAGGAGCAUAUGAGCUUGAGAUCAGAAACUCCAUGUCCGAGCAUGGAUGCUUAGAGAAGGGAAGACCAUAUGACUAUACCUCUGAAUCUACGAAACCAUACGAAGAAAAUGCAUGAGAGCAGCAGGGCAGCUGCCAACACCGGCACUGCUAUCUUCACUGCAUUUCUACCUGCACGUUCAAAUACAGGGCAAAAAUUUGAUGAAAAAACACAUUUUGUGGUCUGAAUUCGGUAAAGAUUCAACAGAAUUUUGAGAAAGUUCGGUGGAAAAAAUGCAUAUGUGUCCGCUGUACCUGUGGAAGCAGCAGCAACCGGCACGCGGAGGUAGAGCGUCUCGCCGGGCGCGCCGAUCAUCUGUGCGUCCACGAGCUCCCCUGCCCACACCAGGCACCGGCCCAGUUCACCCGCGUAUGCGUAGGCCACACACGAGCAGCUGGCUGCGCACCUCGCCGCGCACUCCUCCGCGCUCCGGUUGCCUGCGUCGAGCAUGAACUUGUCCGGCACCGUCAUGCUCGGCAUCGACACAAAACCCUCCCGCUCCUGCUUCCGCCGGCACCCCUGCUCGAACCUGCCGGCGCUCCACUCCGCCGCACUCGCCGGCCGAACCCAUCGAGGCACCUGCACGCCGCCGGCGCCGCCGUGACGUCGCAGUACCCGUACGCGCUGCAGUGCCCAUAGCUGCUGCACCCGCUCGACGGCCACGACUGGAGCGUGUCCCAGGCAGACGUGGUGCCGUUCCAGCUGAGAAGCUGGAGGCUGCCGGAGCUGGUCAGCACGUACCGCGUGGGCGUGAAGGUGAUGGCGAUCUCCUCCUCGGUGGCCACGACCGCCGUGUUGACCGUGCCGGCGCUGAUGUAGCUGCUGGAGACGGCGUGCCCCGUCCAGACGGGAUUGCACCAGUAGGGGCGCGUGCCGUUCCACAUGAGCAGCUGCAGCGACGUGCUGGGGUCCAGGCCGUAGGAGAAGCGCCCCGGCGCCGGGUCGCGUGGAGACCUCCAGGGGACGAGCCAGCCAGCCUUGCCCGUGUGGCUCAGCCGCACCUCCAUCCUCGGCAGGAACGUGUCCGUCGGGUGGUCGAAGCUCUGCCACACCACCGUGCCGUCCGGCAGCUGGAUGAGCAGGUUGCCGUCGCGGCCUGCGAGGACGAUCUGCCCGCGCCGGGCGUGGUCCAGAGCACGCGGCCGUCGGCGUCGGACAGGACGAGGCUGAGUCGUUGGCCAGCGUGAGAGUCGGGGUGCUGAACGUGACAGGUCCAUGGAUGAAAUUCAAGGUGCGUCGAGCGACGAGUUUGAAUCGGUCAAUCGGUCGAGAGCGCUUGCGUCUACAUGGGCCGGCCCACCAGCAAUGACGGGUGUGCGCCCGGUACAUUUGCUGGCGCUCAAGGCUGAACGCGCCGUAUAUGAGCCCCCGGUGCUUCCCUCGCCGGCCGACUUGUGGGUCCGUGGUGGCAGGUGUGCUAACACUACCUCUGGAGUCUGGACCGAUCUCUCUCAAAGUGACUUUCACCGAUCCCAGAAACAGACCAGACUGAAACCAUCACGUUUGAGGUCGUGCGCUGCCUGUUGUGUCAAACCCAGUCUACAGGACGCUGCCAUUGCUUGCGCUAGGCUUUAUCUCUACUCCUAUAAAAAUGGGAGUUGGUGAUGAUGGUGUGUCUGCCUUGGUGCAAUCUAUACCGUUCGAUCUGGAAUCUGAGGCUGCGAUUGAGACUUUGUGCCAUCAUUUGAACAAGAGCACGGAUAGCAUGGAGGUUUCUCUCGCCAAGCAGAUUCUUCGAAAACCCUCUCCACAAUUCCUCGUUGCCGGCCCCUACCCUCUCUUUCCCAGCGUCUUUUCUCGGCGACCGCCGGAGUUGAGUUGGGCGAGGGUUCCGUCUCCUGUAUAGCUGUAUUUGUAGUUAAGGUCUUGAUAAAUCUGAUUUGGGUUGAGCUUUCCCCGGCGUCUCUCCUUCCAGAUCUGGCCGUGCAGACCGUCGGAGAGGGAGACAUGGCGGCGGUUGCUUCCUUGUCCAAGUUCCUCACUCUCCUGUCUUUCUACUCCCCAUGAGAACUAUCACCCCAAAACUGAGAUGAGCCCAUCCCCCGCACGAUCGGGCGCGAUCCUUCGUUUCCUCUAUGCCGCAUCAUCCUACGGGGAAAGAUGGCCGUGUUCGUCCAGGCCAGCGCUCCCGGCCACCCGGCAGGAGGUCUAGGUUGCCUUUGCCGAUGCAUCAAGCUGCGGGCGCUCCGCUGGCGCGGCGUGCCCAAUGCAGGUGUACGCCGGGUAUUCCCGUGUUUAUCCGAUGGUAGCGCAAUCACCGGCACAGCGUGUCGCAUUGUCUUCCUCAACGAUUGCCACGGCGCUGCUGUCGUAUUCGACCUCCUCACUUCGCCGCUGUGAUUCUAUCCGCUGGGAGGUACGUGCACAUUUAUUUCAUCCGCAAUUUUGCAUGCGUAUGAGAUUUGCUUAUUUGAUGAACUUCGGUCCUGCAGUAGUUUAAUCAGCUCAUCUUAGAGAUAUAGGCUAAUUCCUAGCUUAACAAUUUACUCCCUCCGUUCCUACAUAUAAGUCUUUUUAGGGAUUUCACUAUGGACUAGAUACGGAUCAAAAUGCGUGAAUCUAUACUCUAAAAUAUGUCCAUAUACAUCCGUAUGUAUUUUGCAGUGAAAUCUCUAAAAAGACUUACAUUUAGGAACAGAGGGAGUAUAAUUUAUCAGGCCAAUUACCUGAUGGGAGACAACCAGACGGGGAGAACGAUUGCUUGAAGAGCCUCGGGCAGUCUGCUCUCACAAGGAAAUGCAAAGGUAAUUUCACAAGAGAAGUGGUGAUGGCGAGGCUCUGCCACGACAACCUUGUUCGCCUCCUUGCGUACUGCAAUGAAGGCGACGAAUGGAUAUCCACUCAUCUAUGGCUACAUGUUGAACAACAUCAUGGAUCUCUACAUAUUUGGUACAUAUACUUGUAUAUUUUUUUCUUGCCUAUGAUCAGAAUUUGGAUCACAGUAGACAAUCAGGUUCUCUUCUAUGAUUGUUGGUUAUUGUUUUCAUGUAGUCCAAUACAUAAGUACAGCUCAUAGCUGCAUGGUUAGAAUUCAGAGAAAAUGUACAUAAAGUUCCAGAUAAUAGAAUUGCAAACUUGGACAAUACCUUUAGAGGAAAUUUGUAUGCUGGACAUGCUUGACCAUGUCAAAGAUCAUGCAUGAGUAAUUAUAUCCUCGGGUUAUUCGUAUUAUCUGCAAAGUGAGCUUCAAAAUUUUGUAAACUAGCAUUUUCAAUAGUUCAGAGCUACUACUUCACUGUCAGUAUUUAGGUGGAUGGUCUCUGUUUUAAAUUCAUGAUACAAGUAAUGCACUUCGUCAAGUUUUAUUUAUCUGUGUCCUUGGUUCCAAUAGCUAUAUAAUUUCUUCGCAAGCACCCAAGUACGGCAACUCUAUUGCCGUUCAUGCUUGGCCUAUGCCCUACAGAGAGGAAUUAGUAUUUGCCUCUUUGUGUCAGAAUGUAGUUGUGUCGCAUGCCUCUUGUAUCAUUUUCAUCGUUGAUAGAUGCAUUACCAAAAUAUCAUUGCAAAAUUUCGUGGUUGCAGUAUUUGUCUUGUUAAUUUUGCAUUCCUCCCUUUUCUCAUAAAGUGUUAAUUCUGUGUUAGUUAUAUCUUAUGUUUUCUAUGUUCAUUGCUUCUGUUGACUUCAGAUUGUGCAUAUGUGGAGAAGCAUGUAUGAUUGCCCUCAGGUUUAGAACAUAUUGCAUAACAAGCCAUUCUCCUUGGCAGCCGACCUAGAAGUGAGGUCACAAUUGACACCCCUUGUCGUCCAACUUCCGGCACUUGAAGUCUCUGUGCGACAAAAUUAUGCUUGCCAUCUGAUCACCUUGCCGCAUGGUAUGUUCAUGGGACAGAGAAUAUGAGAUGCAGCUCCCCAAUGUUUUCACUUCUCCACUCAAAAUUUUCAGGCCACAACCUGAAUAUUUGUUUCCUUGUUGUCUGUCAUCAGCAUUUUUCUUUGCAGAAACCUGGUUAAGGAAGUUACCAGUAGUCCAGUACUAAUAUUUUCGUAUGUAUGUACUUGUGCACUCACCCCUUUUAUAUACAUAUAUGGUUCAAAAAGCAUCUUUUACUUUAUUUUUUGUUUAUUUGCUCAGUACAAAAUGUAGUGCAGUCUAUGAUUUUUUUCCUUGGUCUAAAUAUACCACAGACCCUCUACAGGCUCCUUAUUUUUUUUCCAUUGUCUAAAUAUACUACAGACCGUUUAUAUAUAUGCAGUACUGAUUGCCUAAUGUCCUUCUAGGUGAGAAGAUAGAUUAAGUUGGAGUUCGAGAGCUAAUAUUGUUGGCACAAAUGUUUUGAGCAAACAACUAAAAGAAGGGUAUACUAUGCUUUGCAGAUGGAAAAUGAUUCCACGGCCUCAUAUAUGCCUAUGGUAUAUGUAACUAAGCAUGAAUCAAUUUUUUUUCUCUUCAUGGUGCUAUUGCAUGCAGCAUGCUUGUGCAUAUUUAUCAAAGUAUUCAGUUGAACACUUCUACUUCAUUCUUGUUUGUUCUUGAAAGUGUGCUCAAGCAACAGUAAGUAUGUUAUUUGGAUAUAUUAAUUGUGUGGGCUGGAGGUGGAGCCUGUGUUAACCAAAAGCAGAUUGGUAUUGUAACACUUCCCAAAUGUGUGUGGAUGGAUUUUCUAUUUGUCACAUGCUCUGUCCCCUCAAUUUAGAGAGUAAUGAGAAAGCUGGUUGGAGAGAACAACAAAUCUUCGCCAAGGUAAAAAUGGAGAAGAAAAUAUUUGGCUUGGACAAGGGGGUCAUCGAUCAGAAACCAUAAGUUUGAUUUUUGCUCAAUGCGUACACAUCAACAAUAUAGCAUUACUGUGAUCAAUGUUAUGAUACAUCUUUUUUGUCCACUAUGCUCCUAAGUAAACAAUGUCUACUUGAUUAUUUGUGAUUCCGUAGCGUAGCACUAGCACGGGCAUCUUACUAGUCUGAUAAAAAGACUGAGGUGGAGAAGUAGCUGAGUAGUAUUAGACUUUAUCUAGUCCAAAAGGCUGAGCUGAACUAGUACUACAGUUGGUGUAGUGAAGCUGGCAAGCAUCCCUAUAAAAGGGCAUAUGCAUCCAUCGUUGUAAAUCAUUCCACUCCGAUCAAUUCAACUAGUACUCCUUUCUCAAGUGCAGCUCCAUCCGUGUAUGUUCGCUAGUGUGUGUGCGUACUUGCUAGUGUGCGCAGCGCAAGCAAGUAGUACCAGCACUUAGCUCUUCCACCGGUCAUUCAUCAGGAUAUUAGCUAGCCAGUAGUUUUUGCGCUAACACUGCCAAGGCAUCUCUGUUCUUCAGCUUAACUACUUGUUUCUCUGAACCUCUGAAUGUGUAAUGCAUAACUUCUCUGAAUAAUUUUCAGCGUAAACAUGGUAAAUAUUUCAAUUUCAGCAAGACAUUCAUACCAUCCAUUUCAAGGCUGAUCAACUGAACACUCCUUUAUAUACGUCUUUCAUUUAUAUCUCUAACAAAUGCUCUACAAGUCUGGAGUUUCCCCCAGUAAAAAAACAAAAACUGGAACACUAGGACUAGUGCAGCUUCCAUGUGAAGAAUGUUGCAGUUACUACUGUAUAUACCAUACUACCUGCCUUGCAGAACUGUCAUGGCCAUGGUGUUCCUGGUGUUCUCGAGAUCGCUUCUCUCGAUCUUCUGUCCCAUCAUUUCGAAAAAACCAGGCUGCACUGGCGUUGGGAGGGAUAGUGACACCGUCGACGAUGCACUUCCGUUCUCUAAGAUGGACACGACGGAGGACAUGAGUGGCCUCCUGCUCGGGUCGUCCUCGACGCAGAGGAGCCCGACGUGGAUGCACAGCAAAGCCUCAUCCUGUGAACAGCUCCCUGCCAUGGAUGGAUCCACCAGCUUACCUGCCUUCCCUUCCCUCCACAGGCUCCAUGCCUACAUGAAAAAAAGUAUCAUAUCAACCAUUUGUGUGUUUUGUGUAUGUGUGUUUGAAGAUGAAUAUGAAUUUAGGCAUGACAUGGACUGAACUGAAAAAGGAAGGAAGGUAACUGCAAAAAUUGGCGUGGCAAUGCCAUUUUUAGUUCAGGGUCGUACAUAGACUGUCAGGCUGGGAAACUCCAUGAUGCCCUCGGUUGUGCUUAUCCUGACGCCGCUCAUCAUCUCCAGCAGCAGCACACCAAAGCUGUACACGUCGGACUUGACAGAGAAGACUCCCUCCGCCGAGUACUCGGGAGCAAUGUAGCCACUGUCCACAAGUUUUUUGUGUUGUCAGAAGAGACGCCGAAUUUUCGGUGAAAUGCUAGCUUGGUACCAACUUUAAAAAUAUGCUUUUAUUUCUGAAAAUCCAGUUAAGUGUUGAGGUUACUCACUAUGUCCCGACAACGCGCUUGGUGUUGGCUUUGACUUGGUUGUCAGCGAAGAUCUUGGCCAUGCCAAAGUCGGCGAUCUUGGGCCGCAUCUCGGCGUCCAGCAGCACGUUGCUGGCCUUGAGGUCCCGAUGUAUCACCGUCAGCCUCGAGUCCUGGUGGAGGUAGAGCAGCCCCCUGGCCACACCCUUGAUGAUCCCCAGCCUAGUAGGCCAAUCCAAGGCUGAUUUCCUCGCACUGUCUGCAACAAAUGCCAUACACAACUUCAGGAACCAUGUAAAUAGUUUCAUUAACUUGCUUGUGUAAAAACUUGAUGAGCGGCUUCUGUCAAGAGUUUCAUUAACGUGGACAUCUGAACAUUAUAUGUACCAAAGAGAAUGGCGUUGAGGCCCUUGUUGGGCAGGUACUCAUAGAUGAGAAGUUUCUCGGCCUCCUCGGUGCAGCAGCCGAGGAGGCGGACCAGGUUCCGGUGCUGCAACUUGGCGAUCAGAAUGGCCUCGUUCUUGAACUCCUCUGCUCCCUGGUCCGAGUCCUUGCUCAGCCUCUUCACAGCGACCACCUGACCGCCGUAUAGUGUUCCCUUCCCAAUGGUAAACAGAAGCAAGUGGACCGAGUGAGAUCAUGAGUUGCUUUAGUUUGGCGACUGAAUUUUGUGCAGGAGAUUUUAGGUGACUAAAUUUAGUACCUUGUAGACUUUGCCGAAGCCUCCGCGUCCGAUCAUGAGUGUUUCCGAGAAGUUGCCGGUGGCCGCGACGAUGUCGGUGAGCCGUAUAGAGGGGAACUCAAGGUCUACCGUGUGAUCUCCUUCGAUUUCGCUCCAUGUGUUUGUGGUUCCCGUCCCGGGCAUUAGCUUCUUCUGGCUCACGGUUUUCUUUCUCCUAUCUAUGCAAGAUGUUGUGAGCAACUUUUUCUAAGAAUGAUUGAGCAUUUGAGCAUGUCACGUUUAGCGGUAAGAGGAAAUUACUGUACCUCUGAAUCUCCACAACCAUACAAAGAAAAUGCAUGUGAGCAAUAGGACAGAUGCUGGCACCGGCAGUGCUAUUUUCACUACAUUUCUGCUGGACUUUCCACCUCUGUUCGGCAGGGCUAACACCGGCACUGGCAAAUUGGUUCGGUUUGAUUAAACAGACGAAGUUCGGCAAAAAAAUAAAAAAAAAUUAUGUUUCUGCUGUACCACCUGUGGAGGCAGCAGCAACGGGCACGCGGAGGUAGAGCGUCUCGCCGCCCCAGCCGAUCAUCUGCGCGUCGACGAGCUCCCCUGCCCACACGAUGCACCGGCUCACGUCCCCCAUGGCGCUGCUGCUCUGCAGGUUGGCGUACGCCAUGCACGAGCAGUUGGCGGCGCACCUCGCCGCGCACUCCUCCGCGCUCCGGUUGCCGGAGUCGAGCGAGAACUUGUCCGGCACGUUCAUCGUAGGCAUCGCUAUGAAACCCACUCCUAUGCUGCCGCGUCCGCACGGCGGCAGCGCCUCCUUCCGCCGGCACCCUUGCUCGAAACUGAAAGCUGUCCACUCCGCCGGACUCGCCGGCUCGAAGCCAUCGAGGCACCUGCACGCCGCGGGAGCCACCGUAACGUCGCAGUACCCGUACGCACCGCAGUCCCUGUACGUGCUGCACCCGCUCGUCGGCCACGACUGGAGCAUGUCCCAGGUCGACGCGGCGCCGUCCAAGCUGAGGAGCUGGAACCUGCCGGAGCUGGUCACCACGUACCGUGUAGGCGCCGCGCCACUGGAAACGGUGAUGGCCACGGAGAUCUCCUCCUCGGUCAGGACGAUCGCCGUGUAGAGUAUCGUGCCGGCGCUGACGUACAUGCUGGUCACGGCGUGCCCCGUCCAGACGGGCGUGCGCCAGUAGGGGCGCGUCCCGUUCCACAUGAGCAGCUGCAGCGACGUGCGGGGGUCCAGGCCGUAGGAAAAGCGCCCCGGCGCCGGGUCGCCGGAGGAUUUCCAGGACACGAUGCGGUCGCCCUUUCCCGUCCGGCGGCUCAGCCGCAUCUUCAUCCCCGGAAUGAACGUAUCCGUCGGGUGGUCGAAGCUCUGCCACAACGCGGGGCCGUUCGCUCGCUGGACGACCAGGUCGCCCUCGUUCGUCAGCACGGCCGCUGCCGGCGCCUGUGGUGAUGAACUGACCGCGACGGUCGUGUUCCAGAGCACGCGGCCGUCGGCGUCGGACAUGACGAGGCGGGAGUCGUUGGCCAGCGCGAGCGUCGGGGCGCUGGCGGCCGGGGCGCCCCGGUUGGCCACCCAGACGACGGUGCGAGGCCCGGGGAUGCCGUUGUACCAUAUGCCAAGAUACCGUCUCGCCGGGCCAGCGGCGUCGUCUGGGGAGAAGAAGCCGAGAGCGAAGGCGCCGCCGUCGGACACGAGGGACUGUCCGGCCAGGAGCUUCUCCCCCACGGCCAGCUGGUCCUUGGCGGACGCGCACAGGAGGAAGAAGGCGACGACGAGGACGAGGACGGCAGAACGUGACCGGUCCAUCGAUCAACUUCAAGGUGCGUGCAACGAGAUCAUCAGGAGACUUGAUUUUCUACUCCCGGGGCACCUACACAAAGCUAGCUAUUUACUCACUCCGUCUCAUAAUAUAAGAGUCAGAAUAUAAGAGCGUGCAGUGUAAAAAAACACUCUUAUAUUAGAGCAUCUUCAACAAACGCGCGAUAGCAUGGCGCGUUAAAAAAGUUUCGCAGCGCUGAAAUAGUGUUUUUGCGCGUGACAGGUUUACCAGACGCACGAGAACACACGAGCACAAGCCGGCGCCUCAAAUUUGCAGCCCCAUAGCCAUCAUGCGCUAAAUUUACGGCUCCGUUUUUGUGUGUGCUCUAUUUUACAACUUAUGUUGAAGCAUCGUUGUUUGUCGCGGGCAUAUUUUCCAGCGCGCGGCUUGUAUAGCGCGAGAUGCUCUUAUAAGACAGAGAAAGUAGCUACGGCCUUGACGUUUCUCUUGGCGGUACGAACGUGAUCAUUCUUGUCCGAAAGGCGAUGUCGCCAUUGUAGCUAACCCGACGGUCACAGGCGGAGCUCCCGGUAGGGCGAGGCAGGGCGCCCGCCCUACCUUGAUUUUGUGCAGAAAGAUUAGUACAUGUAGUCAUACGCUGUCGCUGGCCGGUUCUAUGUGCGUGGAGUCACGUUCGCUAGAAAAAAGAAGACUUGCUGCUGCUGCUGUGCAUCCUUCGCUAAGCGGGAACUAAGAAAGCAAUCAAGCCCAUCCCAGUUGAUCAAGCCGCACGCACCAGUUUCCCUCAAAAAAGAAAAAGGUGCACGCACCAGUACAUGCUAUCUCUCUCUCUCUCUAAAAAAAAAAGUACACCAUGCCAUCACACGGAGAGCUAUAAAUUUCUAUAAUUUCAGCCUAAAAAAAAUAUAAAUUUCUACAUUUUCAUGUUGUGAAUUUAUGAUGUAAAUUUUCAUAGUAGCUUCACAAUCUAGAUGGCAUUAAAGCUUCAUUAUCCAUUUGUUUUCAGGUCUACUUAAAUAUGCUUGCAUUCCCAUUGUAUUUGAAUUAGUUUAAAAUCAUGUAAAAUUAUCAGAGCAUAUUAUUAUUGUGUAUAUGCUAUUUGAUAUUUCAUCAAAUUAUAUAUCACUCCCUCCGUCCCAUAAUAUAAGAGCGUUUUUGACACUACACUGGUGUAAAAAACAUUCUUAUAUCAUGUGAUGGAGGGAGUGGUCAGUGUUCGCCCCACCUUAAACUUUUUUCGUCCUCCGCCACUGCCGACGGUGACGCUACUUUGCGAGUUCAUAUUGACUAAUUUCAGCAUGCACCCAGGUGAACUAGUCUUAGUCUGGUCUACUAUGUGUGCGCGUUUUACCUACGCGCUAGUGCAUAACUCGACCUACCUUGCCCAACAACGGCAGUUUUUUUUAACACAUUACAAUCACAAUUGCUCACGAAUAUGCACAUUGCAUCCUAUCCGCAGAGAUUUUUUUUUCUGCAGUGGAAUCAGAAAGAUGUAUUCGACCAAACGUAUUAUCUCGACAGUCAGCCAAGAAGCCACUGAACAUAAAGCUAAACAAAAUGAGAUCCAUGGGCACUAAUACCCAUGACAUACUCGUUAUAGAAUAAGCCCACCCAGGUGAGAUGAGAUCGCGGAAAUUCGCCCCCACGGGCGACGGGAGUGGAACCUGCAAGGUAGCACCAAUGUGCCCUCGCCACUGAACAGAAAUCUAGAAGGUUCGAUCAGCCAACUCUCGGUCACAUUCAAUUAUGCCAUUAAUAAAUAAGAUAAUUAAUAAAUAAUGAUGAGUUGGAACUGGACCGCGACAAGUUUACACCCACACUGUAAUUAAUAAAUAAGAUAAUACCCCGCGCGUUUUCGUGGGAAUUGGUCGAUAAAUUUUUGGGUUGACAAUAUGAGGAUGAAAAUUAAAAAUACAUAUGACUUAAUAUAUUUCGUCAUGUAUACUUGUAAAAUAUUUAUUGAAUAUAUGUACAAUAAUUGAACAGAAAACAUUUCCCCUUCGUUGGUUUAAUGUUGUGUUGUGGUGGAUCUUUUCACAUGCAUAGUUUUCCAUACAUUUUUUCUAAAAUAUAGCAUACAUUUUUCUGAAUGUAUGAUUUUUUUUAAAUUAGGCAAAUAUUUUUUAGCAUUGUAUAAACAGUUUUCUUAGAUGUCACGUAUAUUAUUUUUAAAUGCAUGACCUUUUUUUUAAUGUCAAAAUAAUAAUUCAUACGGAUGAUCAACAUUCUUUAUACACGUUUAACAUCUUUAAAUUCAUGAUUAACAUUUUUUUAAUUUUACAUAAAGUGUUUUUGGUAUUAUAUAUUUACACUAUUUCAAAAUAUAAGGCAAAAACAAAAAUAUAAAUGUGAAGAAAAAACUUGGGUGGCGGCAACAUGACACGACCAUGUGGUUACUGGGCCGGCCCAACAAUGGCUUCAGCAUGGGACCUUGUGCUAGAGUCGCUACAAUACCUCAUGGUCUUUUUUUUUUUGAGAAAAGGCCAUCAUGGCUAGCUUUAUUACGAUUAAAUAGUAGAUACAUCGUCUACGAGCUUGCUGACCAAAACACAGGUGGCUCGUGCAACCAAAAAGAAGAGAUCUUAUUACAAUAACUAUGAUUCGCUAGCACAUGAGCUGCUUGAUUAGCAGACCGAUAACAAUGUUUAUAGACGACCUUUCCUAUAGCCGUAGCCAUAUCCACACACUCCGCAAAGAUUGCCGUAGCUGCAUCCCGCCAUCUGGAUUGUCCGGUACAAAAGUUGAUCACCUGCAUAGAAUCAGACUCCAGCUCAAGGCGACUGUAUCCGAGAGAAUUAGCUAGCUCAAGUCCAUCUUUCAUGGCCAUCACGUCGGUUGUGACUACGUCAGCUGCAAAAGGGACAAACCUGCAUUUGGCAGCAAUAAAAUUACCAUAUGCAUCUCUUAGAAUAGCUGAGAUCGCUCCCAUUCCCUCUUCCUCAUAGAACGCUGCGUCCACAUUUACUUUCACAAAAUUUGAAUCAGGUUUACUCCAUUUUCUGUCUUGUGUUCCACUUGGCUUAGAGAAGGCUUUGUGAUAAUUGCUUGCAAUCGCUAACACUGAUAUGGGCCAACAGAUAAUCAGAGGGACUGUCUCAUUAUGCGUAAUGCGUCGCCUAAUCCACCAUAAAUACCAGCAAGCCACUGCCACAACCUGCUUAAAAUUCAGAGUUGGUUCGAGCACCAUUGGGAUAUUCGACAAGUCACUAGUAGAAAACAGGCCUUACAUUUGGGCCAGAUAAGCCCAUUAGUCCCGGUUCAGUCAUGAACCGGGACCCAUGGGCCCAUUGGUCCCAGUUCGUGAGGCCAGGAGGUCUGCCAGGCCUCGUGGGGACAUUGGUCCCGGUUCGUCGGGCCCCUUUGGUCCCGGUUGGUGGGACGAACCGGGACCAAUGGGCCUCGCUCCUGGCCCACCACCAUUGGUCCCGGUUGGUGGCCUGAGCCGGGACCAAAAGCUGCCCUUUACUCCCGGUUCAUGCCACGAACCGGGACCAAUGAACCGGCCAGGGGAGAGGGCUUUUGUGUGUAAAACAUUAAAAGCAAAAAGAAUUUUCAUAAAAUAAAUAAAAAAGCAAAAAGAAAAGAAAAUAAAUAAGUAGAAACAAAAUAAAAUAAAUAAGUAGAAACAGAAAAAACUUUAAUAAAUAAGUAGAAACAAAAUAAACUUUAAUAAAGUAAAAUAAAUAAAAAUAGCAACAGUAAGUAGAAACAAAAUAAAAUAAAUAAAGCAAAAAAGAAAUANNNNNNNNNNNNNNNNNNNNNNNNNNNNNNNNNNNNNNNNNNNNNNNNNNNNNNNNNNNNNNNNNNNNNNNNNNNNNNNNNNNNNNNNNNNNNNNNNNNNNNNNNNNNNNNNNNNNNNNNNNNNNNNNNNNNNNNNNNNNNNNNNNNNNNNNNNNNNNNNNNNNNNNNNNNNNNNNNNNNNNNNNNNNNNNNNNNNNNNNNNNNNNNNNNNNNNNNNNNNNNNNNNNNNNNNNNNNNNNNNNNNNNNNNNNNNNNNNNNNNNNNNNNNNNNNNNNNNNNNNNNNNNNNNNNNNNNNNNNNNNNNNNNNNNNNNNNNNNNNNNNNNNNNNNNNNNNNNNNNNNNNNNNNNNNNNNNNNNNNNNNNNNNNNNNNNNNNNNNNNNNNNNNNNNNNNNNNNNNNNNNNNNNNNNNNNNNNNNNNNNNNNNNNNNNNNNNNNNNNNNNNNNNNNNNNNNNNNNNNNNNNNNNNNNNNNNNNNNNNNNNNNNNNNNNNNNNNNNNNNNNNNNNNNNNNNNNNNNNNNNNNNNNNNNNNAAAGUUAUUCAAAAACUAGUGAUUCACAUAAAUUUCAAAAAAUUCAAAUUUAAACUAUUCAAAUUGGAAAACAAAUGGCACUAACAGAAAGUUUAUAAUUUUUAUUACCUAAAAGCAAAAGGAACUAAAAAAUAAAGCAAAAACAAAAGAAAAUAAAUAAUGCAAAAAAAAGGAAAAAACUGGGAAAAAAAUGCCACCUACUGGGCCACUACGGCCUGAAUACGACUAGAAACCCUACCAUGGGCCAGGAUUCAGGCCCGCAGAAGGUCCAGUAGGCCCAACAGGCAUAGCAGUGACAAUUAGGCCCGUAAGCCUGCAAUCGAGAGGAGCUCGAGAGGGAUGCGACAGUGGGGCUUAUAAACCACUACUCGCCC
rnacentral:lncRNA from 1 species